AUAUAAUAUGUCAUAUACUUCAUAUAUAUUAAGUGGUGGUUUUAUCCCCUCAUUUACCUUAUUUACUGUGUGGUGUAGGUUUAUUACCCCUACAACAGUAUUUAUUUAAAAGUGUGGCGCAGAUUUAUCGUCCACACAAUUGCCUUUAGCAUUUACUUUAUUUACUGUAUGGUGUAGGUUUAUUACCCAUACAACAGUACGUAUUUAAAAGUGUGGCGCGGGUUUAUCGUCCACACAACUGCCUUUAUUUUUUCGUUUAAAAGUAUAGAGUAGAAUUAGUGCCUAUACCAGCACAUUUACUUUUAUUUAAAGUAUGGUGUGGAAUUAACAUUCAUACAACAAAUAAUUUACUUUAUCACACAUUUAUUUUUAUUUAAAGUAUGGUGCGGGUUUAUCGUCCAUACUAGCAAUUUAUUUAUAGUACUUUAUUUUUAUGAAAGAAAUUAUCAUUUAAUAUACAUGAACAAUUAAAGGACCUGAAGUCCCUGUUAAGAAAUGGCUUAAUGUCCCAGAUCCUGAACCUAAAGUUUCGGGUAAAAUAUAUAAUAUAUUUUUGGCCUGAAGUUCAAAAUUAUGUUAAGCCUAAAGAUUAUUGCAAAUUCUAAUACAUCAUUUUCUUUUGAAGAUGGCAAACUUGGCAAAGCUGGAAUUUGCUGCCCUAGACAUAUCUGGGAACAACUAUCUAUCAUGGGUCCUGGAUGCCAAGAUCCAUCUGCGUACCAAUAGCCCUGGAAAACAAUUGUAGGGUAACGUUAGGGACUAUUUUGAUGGAAGCUAACGGCAGAGACUAUUUUGAUGUGUGAAGGGUAACGUUAAGGACCAUUGGUGUCACAAAAAAAAGUUAGGGAUGAAAUGUGAUAAUUUUGCAAACUUAAAGGACCAUUUGUGAUAAAAGGCCUAAUUAUUUAUUGCGCAAUUUUAGGUUGUUAGUUUGCAAAAUUGUUUUAUGGAUGUUCAAUUUUUCUAUCAAUUAGCGAACAUUUUCUCUCUUACUUUACUUAUGUCUUUGUACAUGUUUUCAAGCGCAAGCGUCAAAUCCAGACAACGGAAUUCUUUUCUUGUCAUCACUCAAUAAGUUUUAUUUUGGCAAAGCGUCACUUUUGGUCCCUGUGGUUUAUCAUUUUUACCACUAAGGUCCAUGUGGUUUCAAUUUGAUCAUUUUGCCCCUGUGGUUUUCAAUUUAAGCAAUUCAAGUCCAAUCUCCAAUUUCUAUCAAACUAUUCUCUGCUAGAACUCUGUGACCUCCAUAUCUAAAGACUCAGAAAAAUCCAAACAAGGGAAAAAAAGGUUAAAAAAAAGCUCACUGCUUCCGCGAGUUUCUCGUUCUUCCUUCUCUCUUAUCAACUCUGUCAAGCAAGAACGAAAAGAGAGAAUCCCCAAACGCUCAAAACCGACAUGCAAAGAGACCCUCUAGAGUCAUGAUCAAAGGACAAGACGUGCAUGCAUCAGACAACAGAACAAAAAGUUUGUAUUUUGUUCCUUCUUUUGCUUGUUGGGCUCAGCGUUAUUUCCACUUUCUUCCUUGUUUUUGUUUUGUUUUAUGCUCUGGUUUUGUGUUCUUGCUUAGUACUAAGCUCUCAGAAAAACUGGGUUAUCAGAAAAAUGAUUUAGAUUUUGGAAGCAAACAAGGGCCAGCCCAAAUUACAAAAUAAAAAACAACGGCUGGUCAUGAAUAAAAACCCAGAAUGAAAACAAACAAAAAAAUGGUCAUGAAAGAUGAUCAAUUGAUCAUCGUUAUGUGUGUGCCCUGUCUCUGACUCUUUAUCUCUAUUUUCUUGAUGGGGUUUCUAUCUCUUCUACUCUGUUUCCUUCUCUCUUUAUUUGCCCACUAAAUCAGUUUCUCUCCCAGGUCUCAUGUUUGUACAAAUCACAUGUCUCCCAUCCCAUACAUCAGAAAGCUCUUUUCAACUGAAUAGAUUGAAAAGAGAUGUUAUAAUCAUGCAACCAAGCCAACAGAACUGGAUGAAUACAAAACAACAAAUAAAUGGCAAAAGAAUACAAAAGGCACCGAUUGAAGUGCCGUCAGUUUCCUCUCAUGUCAAAAAGUCGGAAGCUUCACAGCGUAAUCAAAGAAAAAGAGACGAACACAGCUCCACCAACAAAUUGAAGACCAGGAUCAGAACGACGACGAGAUAGAAUAAGUCCAGUGUCAAAUAGCAGUCUCCAACUUCACUGGCGGCUCCAAGACCUUCAAAUAGCAGUCAAGUUCUGCUAUGGCAUUAAGAUCGAGGUGGUGGAGUUUACUGGGUUGGGGAGAUUGGCCGUGUGUGAUAGUUGGCGUGUGGGCUGGUGGGGGUGGGUGUGGCUGACGGCUUCUCUUCCCCUUAUAUUUUUCUUAUUAUUUUUUUUUUUUCCUCUCAUUCUUGUUUUUGGACUUAAAUGCCCCUCAAUAAGUAACCGCAGUUAACCUAAUUUGAUAGAAAUUGAAGAUUUGACUUGAAUUGCUUAAAUUGAAAACCACAAGGGCAAAAAUGAUCAAAUUGAAACCACAGGGACCUUAGUGGUAAAAGUGGUAAACCACAGGGACCAAAAGCGACGUUUUGCCUUUUAUUUUCAUCUUGUUAUUUUCAUGUUGAGGCAUGAAAUUUGGCCAAAGUCUAACGGUGCACCAUCGAGCUACGAGAUCCUCAAGGCUCGCAUCAAAUGAUGUGUCCCUGACGACGUGGGGCUCGAUCCUCUCCUUUUGGGGGCGAAUAUGUACACCGAUGUUGAUAUCCCUGACGGCUCCCUAGUUCUUUCUCCGGCCCAUUUAGAGAACAUUAGGUUUUCACUCCACCCUCUUUUUCGUGUGCUUUUGUUUUAUUUAGGUCUUCACCCCAUGCAACUAAACCCAAAUUCCUAUCUCUCAUAUCCCCUUUUUUGGUCGUUGGGUUGAAAUGUGUUGUGUCUCUUAGCUUUAAAGAUUUCAUUUAUCUCCACGAUGUAGCUUGUGUCAGGGGUAAGAGUCACUAUUUCUAUUUUAUGACUGGGUCUAGUAAAAAAUUGUUUUCUUGUAAACCCACUUCUACUAAGUAUUGGAAAAACCAACCUCUCUUAAUUUCUGGAAGUUGAGCGGCGCCUGAGAUGUCUCACAUACCUAUCCCAUUGGCGUUUGGUCCGAAAUCUGGUAUAAUGUUUGCACUCGCAUUUUCAAAUAUAAUCUACUUAUAUUGGGCGGGUUGAACUAACCUUUUUUUGGCAGCGCUUCCUCCGAACAAAAGGUACAUUAUUCUAAGGACCGGGUCACUUGGUUGAAGGAGAACUUAGCAGGUCAUGGGUGGGACAUUACUUGCUUCGCGAACCCCAAGACUUUUGUCCAUAUCUCUGUUGCCCGUUGCAACACUAUUAUUUCCUGUUCAUAUUGGUUGAUCUAAACUUGCACAAGGUAGAACUAUUCAGGAAUAUUUGCUCCAUCAACGUCAAACUCCGUUGCAUUGAGGAUUCGAUGUCCCUCAUCCAUGCCAGUUUUCAAGAGAGAGAGAGAGGCUGAGGUAGCUAGGCACAACAGCUCGGAAGUAGAGGACAACGCAUCUGAGUCCUAACAUUCAGACAUGUCGGCGCCACGUUCAAUAUCAGUCCCGAGUCGUAGGGAAAUGAGAUCGGGGAAAGAACCCGAGCAAUCCGUGAAGAAGUACCAUCACGCCCCUCAGGUCGUUUAGGUUUGAACUCGCCCAAUGCUGGAUUCACCUUGAGCACUCCAUCUCGCCCGCACCCUCAACAGGAUCCUAUCCCUCGUGUUCCUCCUCUUGCUAGCUCAGGGGGUGAGAAUGAUUUCGAUCCUCUUGAGGUUUGGAGGCUUACAUUCGUGAAGUCGAACAGAAGUUUAGUCACCCUUAGCGACGGACUAUGGUGUAACCUGGGCGCUUUAGAUGUUGUCUUGCGGGGUCUGGCCCGUCCUAGUGAAGACCAACCAUUUGCAAAACAGAACAAGAAGAAAAUAAACAUUAUACAACUAAGAAGCAAGGGCAAUGAUAGCCUUUCCGCAGGUCUGGCCCUUCAGCGGGAAGCGCGUCAAGGAAUGUGAGGUUGAGCUUGAAGGGCAUAGGGGGACCUUCGGAGCCUGUGAAGCGACCGAGACACUGCGUUGUCUGAGGUUGAUUGUCUUAAGCAGGAACUGAGAAAUGCGUCACUCGACAGAGAACUUGAAAAUUUAGUAAAAAAUUUAGAAUAAAUUUUCUACUAAAUAAUUGAUACCAAAGAUUUAUAUUACCUGUUUUAUGCUAUGUAGAUAAUCAAGUGAGAGUGAAACACCCUCCUUUAAAGGAUUUAGUCUGGGCCCCACCCCAAUUCAAUCAGUUUGUUAUAGAAUAUAUGCAAUGCCAAUAAAAAAUUUGGAUAAUGUCCGCAUACAACUUGAAAAUUGUGAAAACGUAUUUCACUAAAACUCCAGCGUCUUGAAGGAUUGUGGUGGUUCCUUUUCUUAGUUUAUAUUUAUACUAUGGAAUGAAGAAGUGCAAUAUUAAAUUGCCACAAUCUCAUGCAAAUUAGUGAAACCAUAAAAGGUAGAGUAUAGAAAUUCUUAUGUUUUGGGGUCUUCAUGCCCCCAUUGUAGUUCGGUUCAAUGGAUUGGUGUGCCCAUUGGAGCACAAGUGAGCAUUCGAUUAUACAGUGUCCAUUGCUCCUCAAUAUGACUUUCUGUACGGUUCCUACAGAUGGCAUCAAUUGUUGGAGCGGAAAAUUUCGGGUCCUUCAAUAAGUAUAAUUUGAUUUCCAUGUUGAAAAGCCGGACACCAUUUCAAUUGUCAUCAGUAAAGGAGGAGGGGGUACCUACAAGAAAACACUACGACACUCAAGUCAAUAAGAAUGUAAUCGCAAGAGAGUUAGAAUUAAAUUGUACCUUAUUUUCCCCUCCCUAUGGAUUGUUAGGUUAAUUGGUCUUUUAUAGGCAUUUGAGUCUUGGGCUUCAAAUUUCAUGUUCCAUGGUUUUCUCCAUGAUCCACAAUCACUCCAUCAUGGGCAUGGUAGUGGGUGAUCAUGUGGGCUUUACCAUGUGGCAUAAAACAUGCUAGCCUUUGAUCAUAGGCAUAAGACAUGUUUGCCUUGGUAGGCCUUGGCCAUAAGUCCCACUAACUAAACCCAUGUCAUUCACUUCUUAAGUUUAGAGUGCUAGUAGAUAAUAUAUUGAGGAGUAAUUUUUGCCCCCCUAGAACCCUUCUUUGAAAAUCAAAUCAGCUGCUGACCAUAGCCCAAGCUUUAUAUUCUUUUAUUGAUUCAUAUCACGUUUACCCUUAAUUAACAUUAUAUGCUAAACCCUAUAGCUAUAUACAUGCAUGAAUAUCUUACUCAAAAGAAGUUAUCCAUUACAGCAAAUUCCAUAUAGGAGUGGUAAUGACCUCUAGGAUUGACAAGGUGUAAGGCUUGGUUACAAAAGGGCUGCGAAUUUUACUCACUAGCGCAUUGCGCCAAGGGUUGCAUGUGAAGGUGGUGCAACAUCAUGCAUGAUUUCACCCUCCAAGUUCAGUCCAAUGUCCACAUGAACGUCAUUAGUACCAGCACCAGCCUUGUGGUACAGAAAAGGCAAAACAGCCACAGCCUCGUUUGAAUCUCCCACCCUACAGAUGAACUAUCCGUAGUUGGUGCCAAAUGCUAUAAACAGUAUAUAUGCACUUAUAUUCAUGGUAAUAUAUUUGGGUCAAUUAAGCAAACCGUAGUUCGUGCCAAAUGUUCUAAAUUCAAAGAACCAUUGAUUGAAUUGCACCUUUUUAUUUUGAUAAAUGAAUUGUUAGAAUAUUGGGGUUAUUUUGGAUUAUAUUAACAUUUCAACACGAAUUGCACCUUAAUUAUAACAAACUAGGCCAUACCAAUCCAAUCCAAGAGACCAAACUACGCCAAUUUGUAUUGCACCUUAAUUGUAACAAACUUGGCCAUGUAAAUACUGACAGCUGCAGCUUGGACCCUUCUAUUCGUUAUGCUGUGAUCAAGCUUGCAAAGAGAGCUGGAUUCUUCAGUUUUGAUAGCAAUGGAAAUCCCACCGAAGAUUUUACUUGUUCUAGGAGGGCAUGCCUUGUGAAAACAGAAGAAGGGUCUUCUGUACACGAAUUGCCAUACCGACUAAAACAGGAGAAUGUUCAAAUUAUAAUCAAUGUCAAUGAGCCUACUCUUGUUUUUAGACCUGAAUGGUUCUCCGAGAUGAAAUACGUCUCAGUUUUGCAGCUUGGGAGAUGGGAGACCUCAGCCAAGUAUCUGAAUCAAGUAGAGGACAGUGAGUUCUUAAAAGGGUUGAAGAAUAUGAGACAGCUUCGGUACUUAAGAACCUGACACACUUGGAUAUGUAUGUGUUACUCGAUCAGCCACAUGCCUAUAGGACUUGCUUUGCUCUCACAACUCCAAGUGCUUAAAGGGUUUGUGAUUGGUGAGCCAAGGCCUGGAGGCAACUACUGUAAGCUGGCUGAUUUGUCAGGCUUGGAAAAUCUGAGGAAAUUGAGUAUCCAUACUAUCCAUGUGGACAUAAACAAAACGUCUGAUGCUGCAAAAAGAGAGCUCAUUUCUUUGGGUGGAAGCCUCUCGGGAAACAAUGCAAAUGGGUUGUCAAAAUGGUGAGCUUGAAGUUCUUGGAAAAGUUGCAGAUGGAUUGGCGGAAAAAAAUAUCUAAGAAAAACCACCCAGACCCGCCUAGGCCGCCUAGGCGGGCGCCUAGCGCCUAGGCCGAAUAUAUAUAUAUAUAUAUAUAUUUUUGUUUUCUUUCUGAUUCAAUCGCCUUUAUGACUCUCCCAAAAAGCCUCCAUCGAUGAUGGCUCUAGUUCCUGUUCCUUUUGAAAAACUUCCUUUGGUGAAACUUAACCUCCAUUACUUCCCUGGUUCUAAGAUUCCUGAUUGGCUGAUGCAAUGGGAAUUGAAUAACCUAAGGAAGCUCUAUAUCAGGGGUGGAAGCCUCUCGGGAAACAAUGCAAAUGGGUUGUCAAAAUGGUGGGCUUGAAGUUCUUGGAAAAGUUGCAGAUGGAUUGGCGGGAAAAAAUAUCUAAGAAAAACCACCCAGACCCGCCUAGGCGGGCGCCUAGCGCCUAGGCCGAAUAUUUUUUAUUUUUUAUUUCUUUCUGAUUCAAUCGCCUUUAAUUUAUGGUGAUACACUGGAAUUCGCGUAAUUGUUUAUAGUUGGUGAUCUUCCUUUUGAAAUACAAGUAUGGGACAGUUGUUAGAGUUGGCCUCCGUCUUCCCCAAUGUACAGAUUCUACAGGGACUAUAUCUGAUGAAGCUGCUUCUGAUAUAUUGCUGCAGUUGCAGAUACCAAUGAUCUUACUUGGUUGGAGCCCUAUCAGUCUAGUUUUAAAGUACCAUUGCCUCUCCGACGACAGUGACUCCACUAUUUUCACGAUGAAGAGACCAAGAGUCAGUGCAUAAUAUUUAAAAGCUUCAUCGCCUUGAGCAACCUUAAUGAAGGCGAUGAGAAACAGUGGAUUACUACUCAGCAUGACAACCUCGAUCAGUGCAGUAAAAAAUCAUGGACAAAAUAGAAGGCAUACGAGAUGAACCUCCUUCCUUCCUUCCUUCCUUUUGUUCAAUUGCUCCAUAAAUAUUAAGUACAAUGUUCGCGCUCGAUCAGCCUGUCGUGCUUUUGGAAUAUCUUCACUCUCAAGAAUCUUUUUGCUUACCUUUCUUCAUUAGUGGAUUCAACCACCAAAAUGAUAUUGUAUUAAAUAACCCAGCUUUCGCAAAAGGAAUACAUUGUCAUUUAAACUGAUGUCACCUCUGAUAUUAGAUUCCUCACCUUGCAAAGGUGUGUAGAAAGCAUCAUCAUCCUGGAUUUCUGGAUCAUCUUUUGCCAAAAUGCAUCCCUGACAUGCACUAAAUAGCAAAAGAAUUGAUCCAGGGAAAUAACAAAUGUUUAAAACAAUCUUAAUCGAUACCGCCUCAUCGACAAUAGCCUUCCAAUUAGAUGAACUGCAAAGAAUAACAGCGACCAGGAAGGCAAGAAUUGAAACAAAAAUUGUUAUUGCAACAUGUGGAGGGUGUGGCUGCUUUAGGCUUAUGGUUAAACCCAGAACCAACCAUGUUAACCCUUGAAAUAACAAGACUAGCCAGCUAUGCAGAGGCAAAACAGACUGGUCUGCAUAUGAAGCUAUAUGUCAUCAACUUGUAAAAUAGCACGAAAAAUACAUAAUAAUAAUAGCAGAAAAUUGAACAACCAGAAGAGCUUGUCUUCCUGCUUUUUACUUCCUUUGACAUUCCUUUCAAAGAGUUAUGCAAAACCCACCAAUUUCAUAUCAUAGCUCACAUCACAUCUAUUUGUAAAUCUAAGACUUCUUGUACUCAUAAGGUUUUUCUUUUUUCUUUUUUUUUAUUCAACGAUAGUCGUGCGUGAAAUUUAAAUUCAUGAUAUUCUCUAAUAUAAAAAAUUAGAAUUUAAAGCUAUUAGACCAAAGUGGGAUAUACUGUGAUAAAUUAUUAGAGCAAAAGCAGAUGACUAUAUAAAAACAAAUUAUUGACUAAUGCGAUUUGAUUUGCAUAUUGCACAUGCAACAUGCGUGGUGCAAUAACACAAGUGUACUCAACACAAUCGAAAUUAGGAGACAUUAUUCCAUGUAUCGGAUAUACCAGCUGGCAGUGUAUCUGUGUCAUGAUUUUUAGACACGUGGCACUCAAAUUGAAACUUCACUAAUGUCGGUUUUUUUCGGUGUGACAGUCACACAGUCUGGUAGUCUAUAAAUCCACUCUUCCUACAAUAUGUGUAUUUAUAUCCUAACAUCAUGAUAUAUUAACCAUAUCCAACACUCAUGUUAUAACACCUCACUUGGUAUGGUAGCAUCACGUGGCAAUGUAGUGAUGACACCUUAGAAUAUCUGUUUAUUAUGUUAAUUCUUUUAAUUAAUAUAAAUAUAGAAAAAUAUUAGAGGGCAUUCAUUAGCGGGGUUAGGCAGCCCGUUUUUCAAGUGGAGAUAUUUAAUGGCUUUUCAGACGUUCCAAUUACUCAUUUUCCAGGCUGCGGAAGUUUCCAAAAGUCAAAUAAUGAAGAAGCUGAUUUCCCAGCAUGCAAAAUGAUUUGGUUGCAAUCUAAAAACAAAAACAAAAAACAGGAAGAGAUUUGGUUUUGGUUUUGGUCAGACAGAGGAUCUCGUAAAAGAACUCAUAGGAACAGCAACAAUCUUCUCUUAAAAUCAAAGAUGUGCAAGAAAAACAUGGUCACUGAAUUGCUGUCUUAUAGGAACAGCAACAAUCUUCUCUUAAACAACUAAGAAACACGAAGAUGAGGUAGAGAGUUGAAUAAAUUCUUUACUUUCCUCAAUCUUUGUUACAUUUAUCAGAAGUUCCUCGAUGGUACAACAUAAUAAGUUGUGUAAUAAACCUAAGCUGCUCAAAAUUGGAAUGCUUACAAAAAUAAACCUAAGCUGCUCAAGAACAUAGUUGGAUGAGCAAAUGAACCCCACAUUAAUCCAGCUUUUAGGGACUCUAGCGGCACAAAAUUUUUUAUCUACUAAACGAGAGAUGGGGGGUAAACAAUCAAAAUUAAGAGUCAUACUUUAACAUAUUACUAACAUGAAAACGAUCAGCACUCUAUUCGAGCAGCACCACUCUCUGACGAAACGAACUUGGGCUUCCUAAUAACUUGCUCCAAGCAUUGGACCAUGUCUCCAACCCGGAAAUCAUCGUAAUUAUGGAUUACCAGUCCACACUCAUUCCCCUUCUUUACUGUGUCCACAUCCUGUUUCUCCCGCUUGAGCGAUUCACAUGAUCCUUCAAAUACAACUUCCCCACUCCUAAGGAGCCUCAAGAUUCCCGAUUUAGUUACAAAACCAUCAAUCACCCGACAUCCAGCAAUCUUCACAUCAGGUCCCUUGGACUUGCUCCUUCCUUUGAGCUCAAAAAUACUUAGCACCUCAGCCUCCCCAGCAACCUUGGUCUCAGGAGUCCCAGGGGCUUUGUCUACUAUAAAAUUGCCAAUGUCCUCCAGAAGGUGAUAGAUCACACGAUGCAGCAUUAUCUACAAAAUUGAAAAGAAAUAAAAAAUUAAUCUUUCCAGCUUUACAUACUAAACUAAAUAAAAGUUCAACUCCAACUGCUCACGCCCAAUAAUGCAUACAGAACAGAUAGUCAUAUCCUAUUGACCGUUAGAAAAAGUGCAUCCCCUCAGACGAUUUUAAAAAGUUUUUUUUUUUUAAGGAAACAGAAUUUUAUUGGAAAAAGACAAUUAUUAAAAAAAAAAAAAAAAAAACAAGGUGGCCAAGAUGGCCACAAAAGAAGACUUAACAGCGAAAUAGUAGUUAGACCAAGCAAAACGAAAAACUUCUAGCAAAAUAACAAAACUUAAAACAAACUUUGACUGGAAAGCUAGCAGAUGGCUUCAUUCCAAUCCAGCUAAAAGCUCCUAAAGGACAUAUCUAUAAAGUCUGUAGAAGUCAAAGCCCAUAGGGAAGAGCAUAAUUGAACUUUCUCCCAUAGCUCCUUCGUUUCGCAACAAGUGUGGUCCUCUAAAAUCAACCCUAAAUCUAUUUUCGUUCCCACCAAACCACCCAGAUGACCGCCAAUACAAUACAACCUCAUAAUACCUUCCAAAAUGAAGAUAAUGUGAAAAAAGCGAGGUCAAUACCUUUACACUGGCUCGAGCUGCAGCCAAACUGACGGAACUGGGUGGAGUUUUUAUAUUAAAUCCAAUAAUGCAUGCACCACAGGCUUCUGCCAUGUCCAAAUCAGACUGAGAUAUAGGUCCAACACCAACAUGCACUACAUUCACAAAGACCUGGAAAAGAAUCGAAGAAUUAUCAAGAACAAAGAGUGGCAAGAUUAGUUAGCAUGAAGAGAAUCAUAGAGAACAAUACAAAGCUUUUCUUAAAUGCCCCAUUAUUUAGUACAGGUAUUGCCAACCAAUGAGAAGUUUAGAGUGUGGAAUAUUUCAGCAAGGAAAAUGUUUUUAAAAAUGGAAAAGAUGAAAAAGAUGAUUACUGCACAUAACAUUGCAUGGAAACGCACGAAGCAUCAUCAACCAAAGCAACAAGUAAUUAUUUGAACAGUAUUGGUAACUACAGAGAAAGUAUUUAGUCAGGUACACGACCGUUCUAAUCUUGUGGCAUACCUGAGGACUAUUCAAAUUCAGUAAUGCAUCUGUAACAGCUUGGACGGUGCCCUGAACAUCUGCUUUUACUAUUAUCGGCACUUCCACCCUCUUGGGCUCCUCUUCUGAUGUUUCUGGUUGUUGAGCUUCUGCUCUCUCAUCAAUAAUCUUCAUAUGUCUAUCUUUCUCGAAUUUAUUUUUACUCCCCACACUAAGCUUUUUAUCUUGCUCCUCAGAAGCCCUCUCUUCAACAAUCUUGAUAAGUCUAUCUUUCUCGAAUUUCUUUUUCCUCCCCGCACUAAGCAUUCUAGCUCUCUCCUCAGAUUCCACAACAAUGAUAUCAUCUCCCGCCCUUGGAAGUCCCUUCAACCCUUCAAUCUCAAUUGGCAUUGCGGGUCUUGCCUUCUCUACCAACUUCUCCGCCAUGUCCCUAAUAGCCCUUAUUCUGCCCCACUCUGAGCCCACAACCACAUACUGCCCACAUAAUAAAGUCCCUCCUUUCACUAUUGCAGUAACCAAUGGACCCUUCCCCUUAUCAAGUCUUGCCUCCACCACAUAAGCAUGAGCAGGCCCAUCGAUUCGAGCUUUCAGAUCCAUUAUUUCAGCCUGGAGAAGCAAAGCCUCCUCCAAGUUAUCUAAUCCAGUCUUCUUCAUCGCUGAAACCUCAACAACCUGAACAUCUCCACCCAUAUCCUCUAGCAUCAAACCCUCAGAAGCAAGCUGGAUCCUUAUUCUUUCUGGGUUAGCAGCUGGUUUAUCACAUUUAUUAAUUGCAACUACAAUCGGUACAUUAGCAGCCUUUGCAUGGGCCAUGGCUUCAAGAGUUUGAGGCAUCACCCCAUCAUCAGCAGCUACAACUAGAACAACUAUAUCUGUGACAGCAGCCCCUCUUGCCCUCAUCGCACUAAAGGCUGCAUGACCAGGGGUGUCAAGAAAUGUAAUUGAUGCUCCUGAUGUCAUACCAACAACAAAAGCACCUAGAUGUUGAGUAAUUCCUCCAGCUUCCUUGGCAGCCACAGAUGUUUGACGUAGAGCAUCUAGAAGCGAAGUUUUCCCAUGGUCAACAUGACCCAUGACAGUUACAACUGGAGGUCGAGGUAGAAUUUCUGAACCUUCAUUGGAGUGCAGCCUCUUAAUGUUGAUCCCAACUUCCUACAGAUUAAUGGAUGGCUCAUUCAAGUUUCUAAAGUUGCCAAAAUGCAUAUCAUAAUGAAAACACAUGACAUUCAAGGAAAACAAUGCUAAAGAGCAGCAAGUAGAAUGUUCUACAUAUGUAAGAGCUAAGACAAGUAAAUUACACUUGUUUUUCAUCAAGCAGAAAUACAAUAAAAAUAGUGACCAACUAUGGGUACUGUCACAUCACCUGAUUGGUGUGCUGUAAACUGUAAAAACAGAAUACAUCUUUCGAUUCUUUCCCAAUAAUGAUUUGAAGCAAAACAUAUAACAAACCACCCGUUUCAAACAGCGUGUAAUCCCUCCCCCAACCACCAAUAAGUGAGAAUGGCUUUGGAAGCAAGUUUUCUCCAUUUAAGCAUAUUUCAGUCUCGGAGAUUUUCCAAAAACACUUUUAAAUGGUGAAUCCAAUUCUAAGCAUGCAUACAAUGUAUUUGAUGAGAACUGAAAACUAACAAUUGUUAACAAGGAUAAUAAAAUAUUAACUGAGAUUAAUAUAUUAUUUUAAUGCUAAUAAGGUGAAAUACCAUUGCAAUCAACUCCACAACCUCCAUGCUGAGAGGAUCAAACUCUGUGCCAACCUUUUCCCCAACAUUUGUAAGAAUACCUUGCAGAGUGGAUAUUGAUUUACCAGUACGCUUGGCAAGCUCAACAACUGUCAUGCCUUCAAAAAUCUCAAUCGUCUUAUCUGAGAUAGGUUUGGUAGUUCUUUGUGAUUUAGGAGGCACAUAUGGAGCUUCAACAGGAGGCUGGGCCUUACUGUCCCUCUUUACAAACUUCUCUUUCUUGGGAGUUUUUAAACCAAAUGACUCGUCAUUUCCUUUUCUAGCAAACAGUUCUGGGCUCGCACGAUAGCAUCUAAGCAAGAAAUUUUUCAUCAUAAUGGUUGAAAUUAGCAAACUGAAAUGAAAACAAAUAGAACAAGUAACCACAAAGAAACAGAAAGAUCAACUUACCGUAUCAGGGACUCUUUUGUCAAAGCUUCAUUAAAAUCAAACCUCCGUGACAUAAACGAGGGAUCUACGCUACAAAAAUUAAGAUAUGAGCAAUGAUGAAAAAUAAAAUAAAGAAAAGUUUUUAAGUUUGGCUAAUACUCAACAAGAUUUCUCACAUGUAACAUGUGAACAAAACACCCAUACUUUGGUAGUUGCUUUCCCUCAAAAUCAAAACAUGUAACUAUCAUCUUGUACAAUUGUAUGGUUAAAGUAAUAUAAACAAAAAGCAAGCAAAAGCCACAUUAAUUACAAAACGAGCUAGAUUCAAGAUCAGAGAGUUAUGGAGUGAAACUGAAUUACAAUGGUAAUUAUGAAAAAUAAACUGAACAAAAAUUAAGACUUUAUUGAGAUCAUUUGAACUGCAAUUAUCACAUAAAAAGGUUUUCCUUGUGCAAUUUUAAUUUACCUGGUGUGCAUCUGACAGCAGCAGACAUUGACUUUAUAAUAUCAUCAACAGUAGAUACAGAAGUAAAACCAUGUCUUCGUAGUCUUGAAGUUAAAUCUGUAGUUAGACUGGCACGUAUGCCCUGCAACAAGAAAUUCUGAUGAAAACUUCUAGAUUCCAAUGUUAUAUAUGAAAUAUAAAUAUAUAAAUAUUAGACACACACACACACACACCAACCAAAACUACAGUUAUUCUCCAUUAUCCAACUAUUACAUUUUUAGAGUUUUCUUUUUUUCCUGAAAUCAAAUACCAAGAGUUCAAUGCUAAACCAAGAAUAAGUGACAAGAUUAUAAAACAAACCAAGGCAGGGAUGAAACCAAAUAGAAAGGGGGCCAGGGGCGGAUGGGAGACUGGUAAAUGAAAACUUGCCUUUUUGCCAAGCUCUCUCCACGCCAUUCAUAAGUAUUUCAGGCCAAAAAGAAAAUUAUUUGAAAGUUUCAAACUCUGCACAGUUGGACAAAGACAAUGACAGAAAACAAUGCAUUAGCCAGAGUGAUGCUCCCUUUGAUUGCUAAGAAAGUGGAAGAAAAUGACAAAAAUUUAACGUUAUUGAGCAUGCACAGCACAGAAUUAUUCAGAAUAAGCCUUACUAGGCUUCAAAUGAGAAACCCAGAUUGCCCAUCCACCAGUUCAAUUCACCUCAAUAUAAAAAAUUAAAUUGAAACAAAGUUUAAGAGCUGAAGAAUAACCGACGCACGCAAAACUGAAUGAGUAUUUUCAAAAGCUGAAUUAAACCCAACAGAUAAUAAGCAUAAAAACAGCGAGAAAACGAUUAGAAUUACACAUCAAAUGGUGGGAAAAAAAACAUAAAUAUAUCUAUGAAACACAGAACAGAGCCAAAUAAAGCAAUACAAAGUUGGAGUUUGUGAAGCUUCUGCUUACGGUUUAACAGGACAACCAAGGUUCAGUUCUCGGCAACGAGCAGUUUAAGUCGGUGAGCCUUUUUUGCUCACUUUGCCGGUUGCCUCUUUCAGCUAGAGAUCAAAGACGUUGAGAAAGACGUGAGGUUGUCUAUAACCCUUUUCUCAAUCCGACCCGAAAAUGAGAGCUUGGAUUGGGCUGAUUUCAGUAGAGACUUCCGGCCCGAUUUAAUUUCCGGCUCGAGUAAGACCCAACAAAAUUAUUUAAUUACAUAUUGCGUCCUUGUACGAAAUUAUUUAAAAUGACAAAUUAUAUUAUAUAUAAACUAAAUGGCAAUCCACCCCUGUACUGUUCUUAAGCACAGUGUAAUGACGGAAAUGCCCCUCUUUUUAAAUGUUGUUUUUAGUUUAGUUUUCUCUUCAGCACAGUGAUUUGCCGAAAAUGCCCUCCACUUAACCUUUUCUGAUCUUCCCUUUUUGCCCCUCCUCCUUUUACUAAAAUACAUAAAUGUAAAAAUUAAAGAAAGAGAUAAAGGAAUAGAUGGAGACAGAUGGAAAGAGGAAGAAGAAGGAAAAAGAAAAAGAAAAAUAGAGAGAGACAGGUGGGCCCAACAAAAGACAAAAGUUUUUUUAAUUUUUUUAAUUUUAUAAUUUCCUAUAAAUUGUAUAUUACUUAUAAUAAUAUGUAUGUUUAAAUUAAUAUAUAUAUAUAUAUAGAGAGAGAGAGAGAGAGUUUAUGUCUCAUGUAAUUAAAUGUAUGUUUAAUCUUGGUGUGUAUAAAUAUAACUUGAUGUUUGCUCUAGACAAUUAGAAUACUACAAUUGUUAAGCCCCAUUUAGUGUACUUAUUUUGUAAGUGAUGUUUAUGUAUAAAAUUAAGAACAAUGUAAUGAAGGAAAUCUUCUCCUUUUCUUAUUCACAUUAAAAGAAAAAAAAAAAAUCUUAUCGGUUCUUACACAAAAGGAAAACUCUUCCCUCUCACCAUUUUUUUCUCCUACAAACUCUCCUCUCUCUCCAUGAUUGGAUUUCUUAAAAAACAAACUUGAAAACCAGAAGAUGGUUUGUUUGUGCUACCUCCCCAAUUGGAUCUUCAUUGGAGCUCUCUCCCAGCUCAAUCAUUCUUUACUUCAUGAAUUCACACGUACGAUUUGGCUCAUCCAAAUUUUCAACUUUUUUGAAUCUAGUUAAAUUUAGAAGAUUGAAUUGAAGCGGCUGGCUCUAUCAUAUGUGUUUGGGUGGAUCCAUUUCCAUUUUGCUCUUGUCAUGCUCAUUUCCUCGCAUAUCAUCCAUAUCCAUAUUCAUCGCGAUGAUGUUAGGUUCAUUCAUAUUUAGCUGCUUACGUAUGAUUAAAAAUAAAUUAGUUAAGCUCAAGAUCAAUCCGAAGCUUACUAAUACAACUGGACUGUGGACCAUUCAAUUAAAAUUAAGUUUUAUCUCUCCCAAUUGAGAUCAAUUUUGGGGAGUUUUGUUCUCGUAAUUUUUAUUGUGCCUGAAAGAAAUGAAUUAUAGCUUUCAACAUUCAGGAUCCAUUUGAUAAUCUUUUUUUUUUUUUGGGGUUAGAAUAUAGAGGAAAAAUGGGAAAAAUGAAAGUGAGAAUGAGAAUAAAGAUGCGAUUAAUAAAGAGGAUAAGAGGAGAAAAUGAGAGUACUAAAAGUGAAAACAAAAACUAAAAACUGAAAUUUAUUUCCAAAAAAAAUAUUGAUUGGGCAGCUUCUCUCCUUUUGUCUACGUCUACAGCAACUUCUUUUUCUGGCUGGGCAGCUUCCAAAUAAAAUAUAUUUGCUAUCAUAUAUAUAGACAUGGGCUAUAUUACUUCAAGGCAAAUAAGGCCUACAGUUUUCUUUAAAAACGUCAGCUCACAUUUUCCCCGUUUUCUCUUUCUUUCUUCUUAUUCUCUUCUAUUUAAUUGUCUUAUACAUCUUUAAUUUGAAAUUUAGUAUUCUAGUGUUUGAUUAGAAAUGAAUUAUAAUAUAGGGAUUUUAUUUAAAUUAAGUAAGUCUUUGAUUUUAGGAAUUUUGUUGAAAUAUUGAAUUUGUUGUUGAUGUUGUUGUGAUGUUUGAUUAAAUGCAUUGAUAAUAUUAUGAGAAUUAAUUUUUUUCUCUAACAUGAUCCAAUAGGUGUAUCUUUUUAUAUUUAUUAAUAAAAUUCACUCAUAUCGUCAAAUUUAGUAUAUAAGUUUUUUUCAAAUCCUAAAACAACCAUUGAAUGAAUUAUAACGUGAAAUUUACUUCCUUUUUUUCUUUUUUUCUUCUUCCAUACAAUUAGUAAAUGCAGGUGUAGAUGGCUGCCGCUGAUGCAAUGGGAUGAUAAAAUACAUCAACGGCUGAUAGCCACCUGCCAUAGAUCGGAAUUUUCAAGUAAUGAUAAUGGUCCAUGAAACAAUAAUGAAGUCGACGACAAAACAUUGAUCACCGACAAACUUUAAAAUUGAAUAAUAUAAAAUGCAAUUAUACAGGAAUGGUUCGCGUGACAGUUCACGUGUCAUCUCAUACCCACUGGUUCUUAUAAAGAGAAUUAUUAAGAUUCAUCAGAUUAAUAAAAAACUUUAAAAAACGAUCUGGUACCAACCAAGAUAUAAAAACCGGUAAAUACUCUAAGCUGCAAACUUUUAUUAAAAUCAUCAACAACAAGAAUGAGUUCAUAUUGUCAUGCCCCAGACGAGAUAUGAACACCAAAGCACAUAACAGCUAAAGCUAUUUUGGGAACACAUAUAUAAAAGUUAUUCGGACCACAAUAAAAAUGGGAAAUACACAAACAAAUAAUUUGACAAUAGAUUCUUUGGUGGUCACUGACCAGUCCUUAAUCUCUCCAAGGCCACAUAAUGCAGGGUAAAAGAAAACCGUACAAUUCAUCCCAUUACACAGCAAUCUGACCAAAGAGCUUUCUGCGGAUCUGCAAUAACAAGAAUACAAGCUCAGUUCCUGAGAGCAUAAAUAAAUCAGCCUACAGCCUAAUAUUGCAGUGGCGAAAGGUGAAUUAUAAAAAGGAAACUGAUACUUUGCAAGGAAAAUACCUCUGGAAGCUUUUUACGGAAUACAACAUCCAACCGUGCAUCAAGGGUGUUCUCACAUACAAUCUUCCCAUCUCGAGAAGCCAACACUACACCUCCAGAACUGAACAAUCAAAAGUUAUCAUCAGCAAGUGCCAUCAUUCCACUUUCUUUCAAAAUAUAAAAGAGAGCUGUUUGCGAAGCUGAAUAGCAAGCCAUAUUAUAUCCAAGUCCUAAUUGAAAACUUCUGAAAAUUUUGUGGGGCAGAAAGUAACUUACCAGGACGAAAUAUGGGGAUUAAAAUGGGUAGGAGCAGGUGGAAGAAAGACAGUGGUGUCCACUAUAAUCUCUGGGGUAUGAACAUUUGCUUUGGCCGCAUAUUCCUGUGCUGCUGAUUCCGAAACAGCCUCCACCAGAUGUAGGUCUUCUUUCCGACAACGUAACAAAACAGCAGGCUCCUUCAGCCUGAGCAAACUCUGUGUCCCAAAACCAUAAUUUUCAGUAAACCAGUGGUAAUUAUUAAUUUAUCCAUGCAAGAGUGCAUAAAGUUAAAGUGAACUAGAAAUCAUCUAGGAAGUCAGGAAUCACACUCAUUUGUUAUGAAUAGAAAAUGUAAUCUGUUGUCAAUGAAGGAUAUGGAUCAUCACCAUGAAUAAUACUUCAAACUCGAGCCAUUGCCAAUUUGCCACUAGAUGAUAGUUAUGUAGGUGUACAUAAAAACUGGUGAGACAGGUUAGCCAUAUCUACCAUACCAUAUAAGAAGUUUAACAAACCUGAAUGAUAAGAUCUUUCAGAAGCUUUUUAUAACCAUGGUGAUCUUGGCUCACAUUCAGAAGCUCCUUGGAAGCCGCCUCCUUCAUGGAGUUAACCACAUCAUCUUGAGCUUGAAGAACUUUAAUACGAGAAGCAUUAAGCUGCAUAGAGUACUCACUGCAACAAACCGAUACAACAAACUGUUAGUUACCCACAUAUGUGCCAUUUUUGCAUAGCCAUAGGGGAAACAAGAAAGGAAAAGCUUCCCUUAGUGAACCCAUCCUCCAACAACCCAAAUUCAACAGCGAAGAAACAAAGAACUCAAUUUGAUUGAACAUACAGUCUGAUUUCUUUACAACAAGAUUUGAGCCUCGUCCUACUCCUUCCCCGCCUACUCCAAUGCCCUUUGAGCUAGAGCCUAUUAGCUUCAUAAAGUAUGGUUUUCAAAAUCCAAAUACAUACAAGCUCCUAAAUUUUGGGCUACAUUAAAAUUGAUCAAGCCUCUCAUGACAAUAAGAUUUCCAAUAAGAUUUCCCACUUAUUCAACUCAUUUUUAACUUAUGUUCAAACCAGUUUCCUCAAUAUUCCAUCAAAUCCAUAAAGUUAACAAAAUCACCAUCUUCACUAGUUCCCAACUUUCCAACCUCACUAUCGUAUUCCACAACAUCCGCGAUUACUAAUUCCAACUCAAAAUUCAACCUAACAGUAACUGAUAUUUGAAACCGUACUACUGAUACAUAUCCAUAUAUUUCUAACAGCAGAAUGCUCAAUGAUUGUUUGGCCCAUCGGGGAAAAACAAUGAUAUGACUUUGUUGGAAUGAGAAAUAUAAACAAAAUUAGGCAGGUUUAAGUAAUUAUACAUCUUCUUUCGGACGUCGACUUGCUUCUCUUUCUUCUCGUACUCUUGCCUGAUCUUCUUCUUCUCAGCCUCGACCAGCUGCAACUUCUCAAUGUUGAAUUCCUACAAAACAACACAAAUUCGCACAAAUAAUCAAAUACCCGUAUAUAUGUACAGAAACUUAAUUACGCACGAAUUACAAAAACGGAUCGAGAUUAAAUUGAAAUUUAGGGUUAGAAGAAAAGUAAGAAUUGGGGAAAAAGAAGAGAGUCGUGAGAGAAUUAGGAAACGUACUUCUUCAGAAGAGACGGAGAUCUCGUUGGCCUUUUCCUCAGCUUCUUGGCGAAUGAACCUCACCAUCUGCUGGAUCUGCUUGGAGACAUCUGCGUCGUUCAUUUUCGCUGAUCUUUGAAUCGAAUCGGAGAAGAUCGAAGACUCUCUCUCUUACCUCGCGCGCAGAGCAAGUGACUUAGCCUUUCGCCGGUCGUGAAUUAUAAACGGGAAACUGUGAGGACAAAAAAUCAACCGCUUUUAUAUAUGCAUCGUCAAUAAGCGUGAGUGAUCUUUAUUUUGGUUUUUUCUAGUUAACUCUGAGCUGUCACUUAUUUAUCUUCUUUAAUUUAGCGUCCUAUUUUUGUAUUUUUUACAAUAUAAAAAUAUAUUAAUAUUUAACAAGUAUAGCCGCUCGGCUAUACUCUUUAUUUAAAUGAAUUCAAAUAUUUUGUACAGUACAGCCGUGCGGCUAUACUCUUUAAAUGUAUUCGAAUAUUUUAAAAGUAAAGCCGGGCGGCUAUACAACACAAAAUGGUUUUCUUUUUCGUAAUUAAGUAAAUACAAAAUUAAUUUGUUUAGUCUAAUAUUUGCAACUAAGUAAUAUCUUUGUGUUAUUUAACUAUAUUAAUUAUUCUAUAUUUAAUGGAUAAGUAGUAUUUAAAUAUUUUAAUUAAUUUCAUAACUUACUUAAUAAAUACUAAUUAAUUAUAUUUACUUAUCUUAAAUAAUUUUGUGGACUUUAAAAUUAUUUUUAAGUUUGAAAAAUGAAUUUGAGCCUCCAAACCCUAAAUCCAAGCCGCAAAUCUUUCUCAAGUCUCAAAUCCUAAUCACAAGACUACUGUGGGGCAUUUAUGACUUGAUUAGACUUGAAUACUCAUGUAAUUCGAUCUAGGGUUUUACAAUUAGAGUUUCGAUCUCAAUAUACGGCUAGUACGAUAUAACCAAACCUAACCCUUCCUAAAUAAGAUAUACAAAAGAAAAAAAAUAUCAAUUUGGUGUCCAUGUAAGUAGAAAUAUGAUCUAAGUGCUACGUCAUAAAAAUAAAAAAUAAAAAAAAGCACUUAACUUAAUAGAUUGAGGGACAAAUCGACUAAUGAUAUAACAACUUGUAACUUUAGGUUUGUUUUUAUCAAUUUUAAAGCAUUUAUAUAUAUUAAUAUUAAUAUAUAAAACAAAAGGUAGAGAAUGAUGAAACAUUCAAAAUACCAGAAAAUGUCAUUGGCUAAUCCAAACAUUAAAAAUUAAAAUUAUUAAUUAAAUGAGGAUAAUAUGGUAAAUUCACACAUUUUAUAUUUAAAAAAUUAAAAUUAAAAGAAAAAUCAGAUAAUGAAUCCUAUUUUUAUGGAACACAACUACUCAUUAUUUUUUUUAAAUCUAAAAUAAAUAUAAAAAAACAAUUUUAAAAAUCCUCUCACAAGCGCGUAUGGAGAGGCUAGUAGGGACUAAUAGAAACUCUGUAAAUAUGCUAAUGUAAAAGGUAAGUGGCGCCCACAUCUCCAAUGACAUCGUGACACAUGGAUAAGAUAAAACAUGUUUUUAAAAACAAUUAAAAAAUUUUAAAAUGAAGAAAAAAUUCUUAUUAUGAAGUAAACACAAAAUUCUCCAUAAAUAAAAUUCAAAAUGAGAAUUCCAAUUUCUGAUUAGUGAACGCACCAAAAUAUGAUAAGAGGGCAUACACCAAUAGACACAAUAAUUUAUACUUUUAAUCCGUGAUUAUGUGAAAUGACCUUCCAAAUAAAAUGAAAAGAAAGAGUUUCCACCCGGUAAAUUAUUUUCGUAACUCAGUUAUAAUAGAGGAUGUAAAAUUAAUUGCAAAAAUCCCGUUACUUUGGAGCAAAUGGUAAUCGGUUACAACGUCUUCUUCACUCAUCCACCUCAGUCCUCCUAAUCCUCCUCCAACCUUGUUCAAAUCAAUUAUCAGUUUUCAAACUCAAUCACAGCUUGAUCGAGCUCUGAAAACUCUCCCAGAUCUGACUGACCACUCACCAAAAUCCAUUCAAGCUCUCUCUUCGUUUUUUGUUGGACCAAAAACAUGCAUAGCCGGGCAUCGCAGAACCGGCUAUCUGGUUCGGCUUUUCACUCUCGAAUUUCAGCUCUCUUGCUGGCCAUGCUUUCCACCAUGGCCGCCAUUUAUGUCGCCGGCCGGUGAGUUUUUCAAAUUUUUUGAAUUUUGUUUUCUUGAGCUGUAACCGAGGCUAUUCUGAAUUUUACUUUUGAGUUUUUGGCGAAAAGUUUGAUUUUUGAUGAAUGUCUGAUGAGGUUGUGAUGUUGGUAGUCUGUGGCAGGAUGCUGCGGAUAGGGUUUAUUUGAUUCAGGAGCUUGAUAAAAGAAGUGGUCAGGUAUUUUUAUGCUUUGGUUUUGUUUAUUUUGUUUUCUUCUGGAUUUACCAUUCUCGUUUUAUUUAGUUGAAAAUUUUUGUGUUUUAAUAUAUUAAAAUUUAAAAGUUUAUUAGCGUAGAAUUUCAACCUCUGCUGCUUUCGUAAGUAUUCAAAGAAAUUAUUUACUGGGGCAGAUAAUCGUCCAUUAUCAUUUUUCAGGGAGAAUCUGCCAUAUCUGUCGACGACACGCUUAAAGUUAUAGCUUGCAGGUAAAUAAAUCCAAACUAUUCUGUAAAAGGGGGUCAUAUUUGACCAUUAUGAUCUUGGGCUUACUUACUGUUAUGAAUGAUGAUCAUUUACUUUAUAGGGAGCAACAGAAGCAGUUGUCCACUCUUGAGAUGCAACUAGCUGCAGCAAGACAGGAAGGUUUUGUUCCAAAGAGCUUGUCAAAAAAUGAGGUGGCUCAUUCUAAGAAAAAGCUUCUAGCUGUUAUAGGAAUUUUUACAACAUUUGGCCGCAAGAAAAAUAGGGAUGCAAUUCGUAAGGCGUGGAUGCCUAGCGGUAAUUAUUGAACAUUUCAUUGUUUGUUUCUUUUGCUCUGCUUGCAAUUUCAUCAGUUGGCAGGUCCAGCAUUAAAAAUAGAUAUGCUCUUCUUUGCUCGUGUGGCCAUGUUAACAAAUCUGAAUACAAUAUGUGCAGGUGCAGCACUAAAGAAAUUGGCAGAUGAAAAGGGCAUCGUUGUGCGAUUUGUAAUUGGAAGAAGGUCUGUAUAUCGAUGAUUUAGAAUGAUGACAAGGAAUUGUCUACAGUUCUGUUCAGUUAAGCAUGUAUAUCUUGCAGCCCAAAUCGUGGAGACAGUUUGGACAGGCAAAUAGACAGAGAAAAUGAGCAGACCAACGACUUCAUUGUUCUUGUAUGUUCAAUUAUUUGAAUGAAACUGUUUUAACAAUAUUAUGUGGGAUUUAUAUGUGAAUUUUUCAAAAUAUACAUAUAUCAAUAUAUGUGUUUAUGCACAUACAAUUAUGUGUAUCUUUAACUUCAUAUGACUACCAAAGUAUGUUUCUGUUAAUUUUUUACUUUUUCCAUAUUCUAUGUGAUAGCUAGUUUGUAGUUAUGAUGAAUUAGCCAAUACAGCCUUAAAUUUUAGUUUGAGGAAAAAUAAGCUCACUGUGCUCUCCUUUUUUUUAUUUCUUGCAUCUUGUUCAUGGCCCUUAACCAGAAUUUGCACAGCCCUCAUGUUCAUGUAUAUAUUUGUGAUUGCUUAAAUAUGCAGUUAGUCAACAUGCCCAAGGAAUGCUACAUAUAGGAGCAGAUAAUGUUAUAUCAAAAUCAAAAUGUCUUACACUCUUUCUUUGUUUUUUUUUUUUAAAUUUUUAAUUUUUUUAUUUACAGGAUGGUCAAGUGGAGGCAUCUGAGGAGCGGCCAAAGAAGAUGAAGUCAUUCUAUAUUCAUGCUGUAGAAAAUUGGGAUGCUGAGUUUUAUGUUAAAGUCAAUGAUGAUGUUUAUGUUAAUAUUGGUAUGUAGUCACACAAUUCUUUCCAGUAUCAAGAAGAUAGUGAAUCCUAUUGACACUUUCUGUUAUACAUGCAUAACAUUAAUCCGAGGUAAUUAAUUUGGAUAACACUUACUAUUGAGAAAACAAAAGAUACUUUUGGAUGACACCAUAAGCAUAUGAUUAUCUAGUCAUUUUCUAUCUCAGAAAUCAAAGCAGCAUAAUAUGUAAUUUCAGUUUAGAGAUUUGGUCGUUUGCCAUUGUUUUACUGCUAAAAUUAUGCUGCAAAAUGCUGUAAUUGUUUGUCUAACUUCUGAAUAGCUUACCUGUGGACACUACAGGUAUAAUUGUGGUGGAAUCAAACAACAUGAUAAAAGGGCUUAUUGAAAAAUAAGAAAAGCAAUGUUUGACUGUUAAGCAUAUCAGAACAGUUCCUAAACAGAUUUUUAAAGUGCGUGCUAAUUGUUGUCUUUUGAUUAUGAUUCAGAUGUCCUGGGAGCAACACUAACUGCGUAUUUGAAUAAGCCUCGUGUCUAUAUUGGGUGUAUGAAAUCAGGCGAAGUGUUCUCUGAGCUGUGAGUGUGGAAAGCGUGCUUUAUUUGAUGAAAACUUUAAACUUAUGAGGCAUUUAAGAUUAGGUGUAACUUUUUUGUUUUUUUUUAUUGUCUUAAUUAUACAGAACACACAAGUGGUAUGAACCAGACUGGUGGAAAUUUGGCGAUGCAAAAUCGUAAGCAAAGAGCAUUUUCAUUUAUAUCCUUGAAUAGAAGAUAGAUUUCUUGACUCCGUGGAAAUUUAGGCAUUAUGUAUGUAACCUGUGUUAAAGAUGGUGGUUAGGAAAAGAGCGGGGAUAGAGUGGAGCUUGGGUUGUUGAAUAUGAGUAAAGGAAUGCUGGGAUGGUGUGUCUCUGAAAGAGAUGGUUGUUAGUUAGGCAAGUAAAACACUCUUAAAUUGACAUGAACUGAAAGAGUAGCCCACAAAAAAAUUAUUUUUUUUAAAAAGGGAAAAAGAUGCAUUGAAAGUGGAUGAUGCACUGUUUUUCUCUAAGUUUCCUGGUGGUUACUUCUAAAGAAGAAUGCCUUAGAGUGUUCUAUGUGAUAUUUGAUUGGCUAUAUUUCUCGUAUUUAAAGGAUUAUCUCCUCAUGGUAGGUGCUAGGUUGUUAUCUUCAAGUACUGUACUUUUUCACUUGGCUCAAAAUUGCACAUCUUGUCUAAUGCAGAUACUUUACCCAUGCUUCUGGUGAAUUGUAUGCCAUUUCUAGAGCAUUAGCUCAGUUUAUAUCCAUAAACAGGUACUUCUGCAUGCUCCUUGUUUUUAAAAAGAACUUUUUAAUAGUAUUUAGCAUGCAGACAAGCCUGGCAGGAUUUAAUUUAUAGAUUUGUGUCGGUUUUGCAGGUCUAUUCUUCGUACAUAUGCUCAUGAUGAUGUUAGUGCUGGAUCAUGGUUUAUUGGACUUGAUGUGAAGCACAUUGAUGAACGCAAGUUUUGCUGCUCCUCCUGGUUAGCAGGUCUGUUGGUCUUUUUCUAACACACUUUUUUUAAAAAUCUUUUACAGGAACAGAGAUUGGUCUUUUUCUUUGAACGCAUACACAAAUCAUUAUAUAAAAGUUACAAAAAAUUCUUGUUAUGUAAAUAUAGAAGUCAUGGUUAAAGCUUAAAGGGAUGAGCUUGAAUUUAGUAACACGUUUUAUUUAUCUUUCUUUUCAGGAGCAAUAUGUACAGCUGUGUGAUCUAACUUGUCUCACAACUCAAACAAGUACAUACAGAAAGGGAAUUCCAUUCAUUUACAGCAUUGCCUUCAAUGCCUUCUUUGACCCUGGAUUGGAGCUGUGUAGAGAUUUUUCUGCUGAAAGUUGAUUCAAGCAGCCUUAAAAGAAUGGAUGCUGAAAUAAAAGGUUAUAUGAGAACUUAUUUCUAUGCAUGUGCUGCCGAUCAGAAUUCUCUCAGAAGCUCCAGAUGCCGACAUCAUUCGUUCCUCAACAACGAUACCGGAAGUCAGGAGUCUUAAUCAUGUAUUAUACAUUAUACCUCUAUAUGUACUAUACCAUCAUUCUUAAAUUGCCCUAAUUUUACAUUUCAACCUAGGGAAGGAAUGAUUAUAUAGAAUUACAUUUUUCUUUUGCUUCUUGGUGAUAUGCGAAACUUGAAACUCAUGGUGGAGGAUUGGUUGCAUUUCUGAUGGUGCAGCCUGCCCACUUUAACAGUGAUUACAGUAUAAUACUUAUAACUUGUUACAUCCAUCUAGGAUAUUAAUUUUUAGGCCUAUGAUCACAUAACUUGAACUCGACACGAGACAAAAUUAACGGAUUAAAGUUGAACUCUACUUGACUAAACUCGUAAAUUACUAUCCUAUAAAUAGUCACUCUGUGAACUAAAACAAUGUUAUAAACUCUUUUGCUGUAAGCUAUGAGGUUCAUAAUAAAUCGAUAUUUAUCAAUUGAAAUCUUUAAAUAAAUAAAUAAAAAUCAAUUGAACCCUAAGGUGCAAUCAAGGACUAUAUGAUUUUCGUACGAAUAACGGUUUGUCUUGGGGGUCCAACUGACCGGUACAACAUAUAUUUUGGUCAGACAACGAAAGUCGCAUGAAGAGAACUAUCAGCCAACUUCCAGCGUACCACGUACUCACUUUUUGACUUGACUUCAAUGUAGCUAAUCACUCUUCGACACGUGUAUGGCUCAGAGCAAGAUUGCCAUGUGUAUCACCUUGGCGAAUCCUAUUAACCCAUUUCACGACCAGACCACCGGUGUUCCACGCUUCCGGUUUCACAGCACAUCAAAACCCGCCGCGCGGCUGACGUUUAGCCUUCCUCUCUCUCUCUCUCUCCUUCAUUGUCUUUCAUCACCACAUAUUUCCCCCAGCACGUUUUCCAUCUCAUCAAUCUCUUACCGACGAAAUUGCAAGCUAGGAAAGUACAGGCGGGAAAAUUAAGGAGCUAGCUAGGGUUAGGGUUUGUUCGGCUCCUUCAGAAUCAUUUCUUUGGUUUCGGUUGCUCUUUCAGGAGAUUCAGGUACAUUGAAUUUGUUAUUAUGUUUUUGUUAGGAUUUCAAAUGCUUAUGUUUAUGACUCAGAACCUAAAUGUGGAAACUUUCUGGAUAUUUUAAUUUAUGGAUGCUGAAUAGGGGAAGUUUAAAACUUCAAAAUCAAUUGUAGAAGAUGACAUAUUUUUAUUCGUUAGUUUUAAAGAAAUAUUUAAAAUUAGAAAAUAUUUGUCAAUUUUUGGAGGGUAGCCUUGGUUGGUAGGAUUCGAGAAAGCAACAAGGCUUGAUAAAUCCUCACGUCGAAAUGAUUAGCUAUUUUAAUGGAUGGUUAAAGUAAAAACCAAUUGGCAUGUGGUUGAUGAAUUUCUGAGAGAAAAAAUGGUAGGUUCUUUAUGCAUGUGCCGAUGAAAAUGUUGAUGAAGGUUUUUUUUUUUUUUUGGGUGCGAGUUUGUUUUCUGACACGUAUUAUCUUGGUUAAAUGAGUUUAUAUGUUAAAGCCCAGCUGCUGAAGUGUGCCAAAUUGGGGAUUAAAUUUUUUAUUACCAAAGUAUUUGUUUACUUUUUUAGAAAAACUUUCAAGAAAAAAAAUCACCAGUUUUUCGUUCCGAGUAUGCAGCUGUGAAGAGUAACUUGACACUGAGCUGCGUGUGACAGUUUCUUCAAGUAGAAGAAAAUCAUUGGACAACAUGGACCAAGAUGUGAAAAAGAAGUUGAAGGGAUUGGAUGGAACUGCAGUGCCAGUUGGGUACGACAGUCUCAAGGAUACCGGACACCCAGUCCUUGAGGCAUCAAAAAGGUACUUCCUUUUUAUUUUAUUUUAUACAUAUAUACUUUUGAGAUUAUGCACCAGGCAGCAGCUUCCAGUAAGUUUUAUGAUGUUGUCUCCGGAUGUAGCCAAUCUAAAUUUUGAUUCUGUGACCAUGUGCAGUUUGGAACAAAAUAUUGAUGGUUUGACAGAUGGCAGUGAUGGCAACACUAAAGUAAGAAUUUCCUUUCAUUAUGACUGCUCAUAUGUGAUGAAUUUUGGCCCUUUGUUGUAUGUGAUGGUUAGAUGAUAUUAAUGCAUGAAGUUAAAGUAAUCUUGGAUUUCAUCUAUUAGGAAGACAACCACCACACUCAAAGGAACAAUGGGUCUGGAAGCAUGCGAUUUGCUGGUAUGGUACCUAUUUCUCAUUAGAUACUUUGCGCUUGUAGUGUGGGAAUUUUUAAUCAGGAUUUCUGAGUUUCGUUGUGGGAGGGAACAAUGUUGUGGCUUGUUUUUGUUGCCCAUCCCUCAUCUGUCAAUUUUGUAAAGAAAAGGGGAUAGUUUCUGAUUUACUUGAAUGAAGGACGAGGAAUUCUGUAAUGGUCCUAAAUUGGGACAUGCAACCCUAACCAAAUGCUUCAUCCUGACUGAUUUGUUUUCUUAAUCUUCUGGGCAACAGAUAAUGAUGUGAAAGUCCAUACUCAGGUCAGGCCUACAACUAAUGGGGAAGUGAAUGAGAAUUCCACAAAUGCUUCUGGUACUGGAUCUCCUGCUGGUUUUUUGGGAGUAUCUCUUCGUUCCCCAUAUGAGAAAAUAGGAAUUAGCACAGCUUUUGUUGCUCCUUCCGCUGGUGCAGGGUUGCCUUUUGAUGCAAUGGUUCUGGUAAGGAAAUGUUUACCUUUUUGUUGUUGUUGGUACUACUUAUUUGUUUGCAAGCUUUUGCCUUUGUACCUCAAUUUGUAUUCAAGUUGGGAUAGUUGUUUAAAAGAAUUGCAGCCUUUGAUACUUUUUUAUUUUUUUGUUUUGAACAACACUCAGUUACUGGUUUGAAUUGAAACCAUGGGAUUGAUGAAAGAUUUCGGAUUUGGAAUUUCCUCAAAUUUUGUGAGCCAGAGUUAGCUGUGAAACAGAGCCCAUCUUGAGACUCUGCAGGGCAGUUAUUUGCUGAAACAUUGUUAUAUUCUUGACUUUUGUGAAAUUUUGAGUUUGGGAUCAUCUUGGAUGCACCAAAUUCUAAGAUAACUCAUAGAAGUAGUAUGCUAUAUUCACACUAUUCAUUACACAUGUUGAUUUCCUCAGGAUGAAAGGCAGGUCAAACGAGAGAAAAGGAAGCAGGCUAACAGAGAAUCUGCAAGGAGAUCUAGGAUGAGGAAGCAGGCUGAAUAUGAGGAACUGGUGAGGACAUUUGAAUCGUUAAACACAGAGAAAAUGGCCCUUAAAUCUAAACUAGAAGAACUGAAAGGGGAUUCAGAGAAAUUGAGGCUUGAAAAUGCCACAUUAAUGGUAACUUCCUCAUAGAACUUAGUUACCAAUGCUUGAGCUGUUGAAGUUUAUGUUUUCAAGAAUUUUUUAUGCGUAUGCAAGUUGCCAUUUUUUCUUUUUCUUUAAUACAUGGAUUUGGAAAAGGCCAAAGGAGAGAGAAAUUUUUUUAAAGAAGCCAAAAUGGACAAAAUUGCCCUUAUUUAUUUUUGGAUUUCCUAAGGAAUCCUUUACAUUUGCAUGUCUUUGGUUUGAAAGUUGAGAGGUUUUUCUGUCUUUUUUGAAAAAGUUUUGGCUUUUUCCAAAAGUGAAAGUUUUUUUGUGGCUAAAACCUAAAUUUACUUUAAAUAAAAAAACUAUGCCAAAAGAACCAGUCUUAUAGGUUGUUCUCUCUGCAAAAGUGACUCACGGUGCAGAUACAUAUGAAUGGGUAGCAUUCCCAGUCCCAGCCCAUGGCUGGGGACAGAUGGUUGGGCUUUAGGUUAGUCGAAGCCUUUGCGUAUGCUUAUGCACCAGCAAUGGUUACCCAACUAGUAAAACUCCAUGCAUAUUUUUCCCAAGAAACCAGAGGCAGUUGAACAAGUAUGUUCAGAGGGAGAUCUCAAUUUCUUAUACCCACCCAGCAUAUACUAAAGAGUAACCCAGGCAUCUACAUACUGAAUUAUCACAUUUAGUUGCUUUUGGUUGACAAAAAUUGACCAGAUGUCAGAAUUUAUGAUGCAGUCAGGAUGUAGUGUUGAAAUGAGUUUUGUUCAGUUAUGUUUGUAGCACGUGCUACUGAGUUAAGUUGACCAUGGAAAAUCAAGGAAAGCUGAUUUGGCCGAUCUGCUUGUUUCAACCUAAGCUGUAUGUGCAUUCACUUGUAGCUUGAUCUAACAUGAGUUUUAUCUUGUAGGAGAAGCUGAAACAUGCACAGGUAGUGCCGAAAGGAGGGAUUGCUUCAGUCGAGAUUGAAGUAGACUUGGACCUGCCAACUGGUACUGAGAACAUACUUAGCAAUUUGGGUUCUGUAAGCAGGAAUGCUCAGCUGGAUUGUGAGGCACAUGAAAGUUCUAUGUCUGAAACCAAGCUCCAUGCUGUUGCUGCUAGAUGAUCAAGAAGCUGGUGUUAUCAGCAGCCGUACAUCACACUUGCCCCAAUUUUUUGAUUUGUGGCAGACAGGAAAUUCCUAGUUGGAAGAGGGACAAAAACAGCAGUUGCUAAUUUAUUUUUCCCUUAGCAUUCAAGUCUCUUUUUCUGCUAUGAACUGUCAUCUAUUAGAUUUUAGAUUGCCCUGUCAUUUUUGGCAGUUCGUUAGGAUAGGCUAAACAGUGCUUUCAUAUGAAUAUGAACAUUGCAAAGGAUAGGUCUGGAAGUAAGUGAUUUCUAUUUGUUAUUGCAGACUUCCUGGUUUUGUGAAAUUAUUGGAAGCCGAUAUACAAUUUGAUCUGUUCUCCUCUUAAUGAUGUAACAAGUUAGGUAUCGAUUUGAUCCUUGUUCGAUAAAUUCAACCCGGUUCAUGAAUCAACAAGUAUCUUUAAUCUAUGCUGUAUGUAAUUCACAUUACUCCUACAUCAGUAAAUAUUGAUUUCAUCAUAGUACUGAGUUAACAUAACAUUAGUCAGCAAAGAAGCCUCUGAAUUGCUUUAACGUGAAGCUGCCAAUAAAAUCCUCUUUGUUUUGUUGAAAGAUAUGAUGGUAGGUGGAAAGUGCAAGUCAAAAGAGCAAGUUGAAGCAAAGCCACCAAAUAGCAUGAAAAAGGCUUUGUAAAAGAGGACUUUUCAUUGCAAAGAGUUUUGACUAUGUCCACUACUGAAACUUUCUAUGAUGAACUUUUGGAUCUGACCUAUUUCUGGGCCUCUUCUUUGUGGGGUCCAGUUGAGUUUCUCUUUUUUGGGUGCUGUCUUGAUCCUCAUGUAUAUCCGUAAUAGUUCAGUAUACAUACGUAUAUGCAUCCCUCAAAAGGUACUCCUCCCUUAGGAAGAAGGUGUCGUUUGCUUGCGAUAAUACAACAAUAAACUAUUUGACUCGGCAUUGUUCGCAAAGAUGAGGCUCAGAAAUCUCAAGGAUAACAUUCUUUAUUGAAUUUUCAACUGUAAAUAAAAAGGUUGCUUCAAAUAUGUCUUCAUCUUGGCCUUCCUUUUCUUCAUCAGUAAUGUCAAAUGCCGGCAAAACUACGUGCAUGUUGAUGCCGUGCUACCGGUCCAUUCAAAAUAUAAUACACGCAUAAUUAUUCGUUUGUAACCUUUAACUCUUAGAAUAUAUAUUAUAAUUAGUAUCAAUAUAUAACAUUACAUUGCAUUAACAUGUACAUGAUGUUACCGUCUCACGCAAUAACUUCUCGUUCAUACUUUUCACAUUGUCUUAUCUGACUAUUUAUCAUUUUGCCUCUACAGGUAUCACAUACGCUGGGGCAGCAGUAAAAAUAAGGAAUCUUUUAGGGUCAAAACUUUAAAUUGCACUUCUCUAUUGAUUUCUUUUUUAAAUGGGUAGUUAAUUCGGUUAAUCAGAUGGUCGCAUGUUCAUACUUGUCUAUAUCACGUGUGGAAACCAGCACAGAUUUAAUCAUGUUUAGCUGGUUGCUAUGUCCUAUACGAACAUGUAAAUACAUAUAUAUUAACUUCAAUUUUAAAACUUGUAUAUGCAAGUGGUAGUAAUUUAUUCUUAGUCAUGACCCUUCAAUCCUUGUUAAUCAACCCAACAAGGUCGUAUUCAAAUCUACAUAGAUACAUACUCAUCUUUCCCCAUAAAGUUGUUUACUUUAGACCUCAUUUCUUCUUUAUGUCAUUGCUUCCAAUUUUUCUUCCUCUUUAUUAGACAAAAUUGUUCCCAUCAUCCUCAUAAAAAAAAACUGUUCCUAUCAUAAAUGCUUUUUGUUUUUGGUUCCAAACCGCCAUUGUGGGAUUUUAUGACUGUUUGGUCCAAUUUUGAAUCUUAGACGAGUUUGGCCAUUUGGGUAACUGUUGCUCUGGAAUUGGUUUUUGUCCUGCUUUUCUAUUGCAAAAUUUGGAUCUGUUUAACAGCAAAAGUUUGGGUGUCCUUUUUUAAGAGGGGUUGCAGAUAUCUCGAGUCUGUAUUUGUUGGUGUGGUUAAGAGGAUCUGUAAUGCACAGUGAGAAGUUUGGCGGUGAAAGAAACCAAGGUAGAUAAAUUGGUAGUUGGGACUUUGGUUUUCAGUUCACAGGAAUAUUGAUUUGUCACAGGAAAGGUUCAUGUGAAAGUUGAGAUUCUCAACUGCUUGAUUGAAUGAUUUGCUGACCUUUUCUCUCUUAAGUGUUGGGAGAAGUCAUUUCCAGCCUUGAGGUCUUGUUUUGGUUUGUUGAGAGAGAGAGAGAGAGAGAGAGAGAGAGAGAGGUUCCUCCGUCUUCUUAUUUAUUCAAUUGAUGUUCUUACUGUGUUCUUGAAAUAAUGAAUCAUUCUGGAGCAACCAGUGAUCAGAGAGCAGCAGUUGAAGUCUCAAAGGAUAAGAGUGGAAUUGACCAAGUUCUGCUUCAUAACCCUCGAGGAGCUUCCGUUCAGGUUGGAUUCUUUUACCUCUCUAUUUCCAUUGUUUAACAGAUGCCCUCCAAGCUGCUUGUACUUUACUUGCAUUUUGAUGUUAUUAUGUGAAUUCAAUACAGGUUAGCUUGCACGGAGGCCAGGUUCUUUCCUGGAGGACUGAACGUGGUGAAGAACUGUUAUUCAUUAGUAGCAAGGUAAAAAAUUCAUCAUAGUUUUUAUCCAUUUCAUUUUAUUUAUUUAUUGUGCUUCUUUUUUGUGUCCUAGCUGUUGUAGACCCAUUCUGCAGUAGAUAGUUCUACCAUUAACAGUUCCUAAUGACCAUAUAAAUCAUGAACAAAUCGGAAAUUUGUAAAUUGAUUUCCCUUUUGCUGAUAUUUCUGGAUCAAAUUAAUAUGGUGUAAUGGACAACUUUGCAGGCAAUCUUUAAACCACCAAAAGCAGUGCGAGGAGGAAUUCCAAUCUGUUUUCCACAGGUAAUAUUUAUACAGAAUCACAGAUGUAUAUUAUAAAGCACCCUACCUUGGUUAAUUCUGGCUGAUUGGUUUGCUUGCUAAUAGGUUGGAAAUGGAUCAUUGGAGCAAAACGGGUUUGCCAGGAACAGGAUUUGGGUCAUUGACAAUGAUCCUCCACCUCUACAUCCCAAUGAUUCUAAUGGCAAAGCCUACAUCGACUUGCUGCUCAAACCAUCCGAAGAAGAUCUGAAGAUUUGGCCACAUAGGUAGCAGCAUGAAUUGUGAAAAAUGUAUCAUAGCAUGUUUUAUGAACUUCAAAUAUUUGUUUGUGAAAUAAUGUUUGGACCAUGUUUUGCAGUUUCGAGUUUCGUCUUAGAGUGUCACUGGCAGCAGAAGGGUAUCUAACCCUGAUAUCGCGUAUCAGGAACAUCAAUUGCAAGCCCUUCAGUUUUUCAUUUGCGUAUCAUCCAUAUUUCUCCAUUUCUGAUAUCAGGUACAGAAUGUUCAAAUUGCAAAUGGAAUUUGCCAUUCUUAUAAUUAAGCAUAAUCUGUGGAAGCUAGCAACAGUUUUGGCCUGCAGGCUUUUAAGGAGUGUGCUGGCCUCAUGUUAACAAUGAUACACACAAAUUUGGUUUCCAUGCUUUUGACUUUAAACAAACGAGUUUUCAUAUCCAUGUAUCUGGUUAUUAUCUUUGUCUACUACUCAGUUAUAUUUUGCAUUCUUCUUAUAAUUAGAAAUAUUCCCUUUAAAAUUUCAAAAAAAAAGGAAGAGAAAUUUGAAUUAUGAUAAAUUAUAGGAAGGACAUUCAGCACUUUCCCUAAAGAUAUCCAUGUCAAGUAGAUCCCAAAACAAAAGCUUUACAGGUCACUCCAUGAUUGCCAUCAGCUCAAUCAGAAAGGAGCAAGUAGUAUCAUAUUUUUGGUUAGCAAGUAGUAGAGUGAUGCUAAGUUUGACUAAGUUCUGAGCUUUAAAUGAAUAUAAUAUGAACUGACAGCGAAGUGAGGAUUGAGGGCUUGGAGACUCUUGACUACCUAGACAACCUAUUUCAGAAGGAGCGCUUUACAGAACAAGGUGAUGCCUUAACAUUUGAAUCUGAGGUAAUCAUGUUUUUCCAAAACCUUCUAAGCUUGUUAGUGGCCAAAAUAUGCUCCUUCUUAUGAAGUUUUCAUUUUUGGGCAGGUCGACCGGGCUUAUCUUAGGUCUAAAGAUGUGAUAGCUGUUUUCGAUCAUGAAAAGAAGAGGACAUUCGCCGUACGAAAGGAGGGACUUCCAGAUGUUGGUAAGAAUCGUGUGCUUAACCUCAGUUUCAGGAAAUGCAACCAAUAGCAUGUUAGCUUCCACAUGAUCAAAACACUCUCAUAUGCUUUAUAAUCAUCAGCAGGCGCUUAGCAUAAGGAGCCUUUACCCCAAAAAAAAAAAAGGAAAACAAAUGAGAUCCUUACUUGAAGGAAUUGAUUGGAAGCUGAAUUUAGUAAGCAGAGGAUGAGUUAUUUUUGUCAAUUUGGUAGUUAGGAACUAAGAUCUUCUGAAAAUCAUAGGCUUAGGGGAUCAGGGCAUUAAGCCAUAGAAAGUUUCUGUCUGAGAUUGGUACUUUACAUCCUUUUCCAUGUCAAAUGAAAUAUUUAUAUAUCUAGCCAUUUUGAUUAAGUAAUUAAUCUUUGUGUUCUUCAACUUUACAUGUACUCUCAGUUGUUUGGAAUCCAUGGGAGAAGAGAUCCAAAGCCAUAGUAGAUCUUGGAGAUGAAGAGUAUAAACAGAUGCUUUGUGUUAAUGGAGCAUCAAUUGAGAAGCCAAUCACCUUGAAGCCUGGUGAAGAAUGGACUGGCAGAUUGGAGCUCUCUGUUGUCCCUUCAAGUUAAUGAAUCGACUGGCAGAUUGGAGCUCUCGAUUCUGCCACAAGAGGCUUUCGAAGAUCCAAGGCAAGCAAAUAAAAAUAUACUAGAAGUAUUAGGGUCAAAAUGUGACUGUGCAAUAAGGAAAUCAAUAAGAACAUGAUCACCUUUAAUGUGGUUAUGAUUUUCAUUACAGAUUUUCCUUCAAAGGAGGUGGAGAUAUCUUUUUUUUCUUCUCCCCAUCGUAGCUAUACCCUAAAAUGUAAAUGGGUUAUCUUUACUUAUGAAACUUGUACACUGAAUGCAGAGUCAGUAAUAAUUCUUUUUCUCUCUUUCUGCAAGUCCUGGCACAAACAUUUGUUUUUCACCUUUAUUUAUUUUGCUAGAGACUAAAAUAAGAACUAAAUCUUUUGCUGAUCAUGCAUGAAACCCAAAAUUUGAAGCAGAAGAUAUGGAUCAACAUGCAGCAUCAGAUCAACUGCAUAAUCUGUUCAGAUGCUGCAUAUUGAUCCCAAGGCAUAUGAUCAAGUUUUAGUUUUAAAUUUGGUAUUCAGAACAUAUAUACUAGAAGAUUAAUUUGUGGUGCAUCCAGGAUUGGAUUUUCAAAUCAACUUUGGUUUGAUGCUCAAAUGAUCAAGUCGUUCCUGUGUUUAUUAUUAUUACGCAUCCAUUAACCCAUCAUUCCAUUAUGUUAAUAAUAAUAUAUAUGAUUAAUAUUAUCCCAGCAUGUAUAAUAUAUGACUAAUAUUGUUUUAUCCCAGCAUCCAUAAUCAUCCGUCGGCCGUGUGCUAUUGUUUUUAUCCAACAGCACGUCGAUUGCGGGUUAUUGUUUUACGCCGUUCCACAUCAUAAGUAUUCAACGGGCUUAUAGCAUUGUCAGCAAUAUUACACAGAUUGACGCCCUUAUACAUUCUGACAUAGCCUUCCUCGCCCCAGUCUUCGCCCCAGGAAUUUUUUACUAUCCAGUAGUCCUCGUGAUGAUCUUCGGUCCUCCCAUAGCCAACAAUUAGAACAGUGUGUUUGUUUUUAUAUGGGUUAUAGGAACAACCACCUCUAAGUAUACCACCUUGGUAUUCCUGAAAUCCUGCACCGAUUGAAAUUGAAACUGGGAUGGGCUGCCAGGCCACAGCCUUGGCUAGAUCGUAUUCGUUGGGAGGCACUUUCUUAUAACCAGUUAUCCGACCAAGAUGUUCGUCUGUCUUGCUGCUGUCACAUGUUCCCUGCUUAGCGACAUAGCCGUAAUUUUCUUCACUGUUGAGUCCUCCAUUUCGUAUUACAUAGUCAAAGGCGGCAACUGUGAAACCACCCUUGCAGCCGUCGGCAUUUCCACUGCAGUCCAAAAUUUGCUGCUCGGACAGUGAAGUAUUGAUACCAUAGUUCCAAGCCAUACUCCCUUCCACUGCUGCCACAGCAGCAAACGCCCAACAAGAACCUACAUAUAUAUAUUAUACCAAAAAAAUGGUCAAAAUAAUAUAGAAGAAAAUUUAUAUGGAUGGUAUCUAAUGUAAUGCUUCUUUUACCACAUUGCCCUUGAUUUUUCACCGGAGUGACCAAAUUUUCAUCCCUCCAAUCAAUGCUUACGGGAGGAAUAUCUGCAUAGUCGUCUUCAGCAACAUCAUAUGUAGAAUCUACUCCAAAUGAUGAAAUAUAUUUUGAGGGGUCGUCGUUUUGGCAUGAAGCAUAAAUUGACAAGAACUCUUCAGCUGUCAUGUCAGAAAACAUAUUAAUGCCUUUCUUAAAUGAACUUGUUUUCCCUUCUUGUUGCGUGUUGAAAAGUUCAAUCGACUCAAAUCUGGUUCUAAAAAUUCCAAAUCGUCUCUCUUUUUCAGAAUUAUUCGGAUAUGUGCGUUCAUGCUUUAUCAUCCAUCUCUCGAAUUCCUGUGAAAUAUUCACUGAGGUGAUUUGUGACAUACCUCUGUGAAUACUUCCCAGUAACAAGAUGAUGAACCAUAAAAUAAUCCAAGCCAUUGCUUAGUUUUUCAACUGAUCGAUGUAUUAAUGUUAAUUUUCUCUUUAUACUUCACGGUAUUUAUAGACUUCUUCUCAUACUUCCAUUUUUUUAAGGUGUUAGAAGUCAAGCUUUAAUCAUUGGAGGAUGACUUUUGAUUAAGUUUACCUUGUGUGAGAACAAAUAUUUCGGUAGGCAAUAAGCAAAUCACACAUGGAAAAAGUAAUAUUCCUUAUAUUAACUAAUUACUCCAAUUAAAUCCUAUUUAAUUAGGGAAUUAUCUUUUAUUUAAGAUAGAAAUAUCUCUCUAAAUCAAGAAUUCGAUUUCCAGCAAAUCUCUUUGAUUAAUUCCUAUAAUCUUUUUUGGGUAAGGAUAAUUCUAAUUAAAUAUGGAUUAUUCUUCAUACCCUAGCAAGCAAAGAGUCUAUAAAUAGAUGGCUACACAACACACUCCGACCUUUAUGUUAUCUCCGCAUCUUUCUCAAGAUCAUUUAACUUACUUAGGCAUCGGAGGGCCUUUGGCUAACAUCCCCCAAGUGUGAUCCGUUGACCUAGAUUUGUUUUAUAAGAACUAAGGAAGAAGAAAGAAAAGGAAGCUCAAAUGGUGGAAGAAUUACAAGCAAAUAUUCCUUCAUGUGGAAAUUUACUCAAACAUUUUGGUGCUUUCAUUUAGAGCUAUGAAAUAUACUUAAAGCGUUGCUAUCAAAUUUAAGGAAUUUGUUUCCUUCCGUUCAUCACUCAACCAAAGCCUUCCAAAUAAUCAUGGUUGGAAGCAAGACCGUCGUGACGAAUCAAUCCACAACGGAUCCAAGCUUCCAUGACGUCGUGGCAUCGAGACAGCCACCAAUUUCCGCUUACUCUCGUCCCCAGGGCCGAGAGGCACUAUUCCUGUGCCAGCCACUACGCCUCUUUAUGGUCUUGCAGCCAGCAUUACCGUGCAGCUGCAAGGACUAGCCGCUCCAACAGCCAUCACCUUUUAGGUUUCACUACUGGAUCCAAGGACUACCAUCAUGGAGCCGCGGCGACGCACAGCGAAACCUCCAACCUUAGCGCCGCAACCGACUACGGCCCGAUUAUGGAACAAAUACGUCAAUUCCCUCAUUUGCCACCAUGCAUGACAUUUGCUGCUCCCUGGCACACCUCCAACGAAACCCUAGCCCAAAUGCCAUUAGGCUCCACAUAAUUUUCUCCUCUUGAUCCUAGUAGCCAAGCAAACCUCAAUCUCAUAGUCAAACAACUGAUCACAGAGUCGAUGACCAAAACCAAUUGGUUGGUCAACUCCUCAGGCAUAUUGACCUGGUCUGCGACCUUGGACUCAGAUCCCAUGGUGAAGAGAGAAGGAUGGACAAAUACACCGACAGACAGGUUGAGCAGGUGCAAGCUAGCAAGGAGAAGGACAAAAACGUACUGCCCAGCACGCUAACAUGUCACAAGGCCAAGGUAGAACGAGUCUCUAUUUGAGAUUUGGUCUAAAGACCAACGUGCACGAAAGGUUGAGCUCACGAUCCAAGAGUGUUCGCUCAAAGCUAGGCUCAUAAGGAGAUCAACCUCGUGAGCUCAUGAGGUAAAUGAAGAAAGAUGUUCACCAGCCAGCACUAGAAGAGCUAAUUUAUUACAAAAGCCAUAUAAAAUCCAUCGCAAGCUCUGUCCACCAAUACAAGGUGCAGGCAGGACAACCGAGGAGAUCAACCCCCGAGAGUCAAUAAGAAUGUCAAUCAGCGACCCCCGCAUCAUGGGAAACACCGACUUGAGCCGCAAGCCUUGUGAGUAGAGGACAUCGAGAGCCUCGUGAAUAAUCGACUUUGAGACUUGAAGGUUGAAAGAGACUUAGAGGAUGCCCUGAGCUAGUAGAUGGACCAAGUGAGCUCUUCUCCAUUCACUAAUAAGAUAAAGCAGGCGGCCCCGCCAAAGGGAUUCACAGCGCCUCAAGAGCCAUCUGAAGCAUUUCAAGAGUGUCACGACUCUCUACAAGUACGAGGAUGCGUCAAUGUGUAAAGCAUUUGCAAUGACCUUGUAAGGAGCAGCUCAAGACUGGUUCCAUACCUUACUAUAUAGGUUGAUCAGCAGCUUUAAAAAGCUAACACUCGUCUUCACAAAGAAGUACACCUCCUACCUGACAAUCAAGAAGCAGCCUUACCACCUAUUCAACUUGCGCAAGAAGUAUGAUGAGUCUUUCCGAACCAACAUCAAGAUGUUCAAGGCCGAAAAAGCAAAUAUUGUAGGAUGCGAUGAUUGGAUCACAUCCUCUACUUUCAAGAAAGGCCUACCAGCAAAGCACGACCUAUAUUGCGGGCUAACCAUCACUCUCAGCCAUACUCUGGCAGAGGUCUUCGCUACUGAAAAAUGCUACGCACUCUGGGAUGAAAAUCAGAUCGCCACCAAAAAGUUUGCCAAGCAAGUCGACCAACUGCCCAGGGAAGCGGGUCAAAGGAAUGUUAGAUCCAGCAGCAAGACCAUGGGGGAAAUUGAAAGUUGCAAUCUCAAGAGAGCGCCCUAACAGAUGAAAGCUACGCUGAGUUAUCCAUCUCGAUACAUCAAAUCUUAACCAAAGUGAAAGACAAUCCCUGGCUUUGGAGACCAUCACUCUUGAAAUGAGAUCCAAUUAAGAGGGAUACCAAAAUGGAUCGGCAAGAUCAAUGCCCUCACUUUUGCUAUAUAUCAGAAAAUUUGAUACCCAAUUCAUGGGGGCGGUGUCGAGCAGAUCAACAGCUAUAAGGCGAUGGCGAGAAGAUGCUUAGCCCAAGGGUUGAAUAAAAGCAAGCAAGCCCAGUUCAUACCGCUAAGCCGAACAGAACAAGCAGAGGAGAAAGCAGAUCCUAUUCUCAAUAGUCAAGUAGACCAGAAGGGAAAGAGUAUAGUAAUCUCCCAAUAGAAAUUAGAGAGCCAAGACCAAAACGAAGGAAUCCAUCUGGAGGUCUUUCCUGAAGAAUGAUGAAAGCCCGAAGAAUACAUUGAGCUAGUACCCAUUGAUCCUGACAAGCCAGAUAGAAUAUUAUUUGAAAAUAUUAAGAAUAUUUUAUAACGUAAAUCAAUAGUUCAAACCGCACUCAAAGGUAUGGCAUUUCCCAUUUUUAUAGGAACUUAUGUACAAUAUACCAAGUGGGCUCCACUUUGCCACAUCACUCACUCAAAUUGGAGUAAAUGACCUAGGUGCGCAAAAUUACUAUAACACUCAUACCACAUCAUCAAACUUAACGGACUUUUAAUGUUAAUGGAAUUGGGUAAUGUAGAACAUCAAACCUUGGUCAAUGGGGCAAAGUGGGUCACUUUGACUUUAAAGGGGUAAAGUGAGAUUUGACCAAUGUUUCAGUAUGCACUGUAGCACUUAAGCCUUUUACCAAUAAAAUUUCUCUGAUUUCAUCGAGGUUCUCUAAAAAAAAUGGAGGCAAAGGCGGACCUACGUUAGGACUGUAGUGGGCUCCAAUCUAGUCCUAUUUUUUAGAGUAGGCUUAAUUUGUAAGCCAAAUUUAGAUAAAUCAAAUUUCAGCCCAAAGCUUCUCUCUAUCUCUCUCCAUUUUCUUUCUCUUUCUCCUUUAAUCCCUUUGCCCCUUUUCUUCUUUCUUUUCUCUCUCCUUUCUCUCAUCUUUUUCUUUCUUCUCUCUCUUUUCUUGUUCUUCUUCUUUCUCUUCGCCAUUUUUAUUUUCUCUUUCUUUCAUUUUGUCUUCUCUAUUUGUUUCUCUUUUGUUUUAUUAAGUCUCUGUUUCUCUCUUCUUUUUCCAUGCGUUUCUCUGUUUAUGUAUUGACGAUGGUUUUAUGUUGUGAAGAUGUUAUGAGCUGAUGUUGAACAGGUGGUUUGACUAGCUUGAUAUUGUGGGAGUUUUGGUGGAGGACCCGACUAUAGUCCGAAUCACAUAAGUGUCCAAAAAUAAUUUAGCCAAUCCCUGUAAAAAAAUCCUAGAUCUGCCAUUGAAGGGAGGUACAACCAAUGAAGAUUUGUUUUACCAAUAAACUUGUAUAUUAGGAUAUAUAGAGUAUUGUUUUGCCAAUAAGGAAAGGAUAAUAAAUAAACCCAAAACGCAAUGACACAGACAGAGGACCGAAUAAAAAGACAAUAAUAAGUAAAUAAAACUCCAGCACUAAAAUUGCCACCAACAGAGACUCGCCGCCGCCGCCGCUGUGAGCUUAAAGAAACGCUCGCUUGGUGGAGUUGAAAAGCCUAAUGGCAACGGAUCUUAAUUGGAUGGUGAGGAAAAACAGGCAAAUGAAAACAAGCAGAAAAAUAUUAAACCAGAAGUUGAUCAUUGUGGAAUUGAAGUAGGAGGUUCCUGCACAACUACCAGAAAACCUCGGUGUAGGGGAAGAGGAAGAGUUAUCAUCAUGAUCCCCUUGCUCUUGCUUCUUGUUGAAAUUGUUCUUGAAUAUUUCAAAACGUCUUUCCCUCUCUUCACUGUUCAGGUAGCUGCGUUCAAUCUCCGUCAGCGAUCGCUCAAAUUCCUCCGUAAUGUUCAUGGCCGUUGCUGUUGCUUGGGAUAUAGAAGCCACACAAGUCCCUACCAAAAUCAUAAUGAUGAAUAACAUACGACUGAAGAAAAAAGUCAUUGCUAAUUCAAAUCAUGACACUGUUUCACAAAAAGUCUCAAACCCUCUUAUAUAACCACUAGCCACCGCGUGCCGCGUGAGGAGGGAAGGCCUUUCCAGCAAAGCUUUUUAUUAUUGUCCUUAAUUUUAUUUUUCCACAAGUCCGUUUUGAUUUUAAAGUGAGAAUUUUAAAAAAAAAAAUUAACAAUUUAUCAGAGCCUAGUUUCGAUCUAGGGACCUGUGGGUUAUGGGCCCACCACGCUUCCGCUGCGCCACUCUGAUUUGUUAAUUAUAUAUUAUUAACAAAGAUAUAAGAAGACGGCAGCAGCAAUACCAUAUGCAUGCAGUAGAAAACCUAUUUAUUUGCUACGUACGUCAUUAAUUUCAGACCACAUGCAAAAAUAUUUGUAGCCAACAAACCCAUCUCAUGGGGUUUUGAAAUCGAAUUCUGAUUUAUCUAAUUUAGAUUGUAUAGGUAAAUUAUUUUGUAGUUAUACUAAUUUAAUUAUAUUUUAUAGGUAUUUACCUAUAUUUUGUAAAAAGAUAGGUACAUUAUUUAGAUUUAUAUUAUAUAGGUUCACUAUUUAUCUAUAUGCACCUAUACUUUUCAGGUCCCUAAUUUACCUAGAUUAUAUAAGUAAAUUAUUUACCUAUAACUCUUUAUGUUCUUCAUUAAGACUAUGUAUAUUAAUUUACCUAUAUUUUUAAGUACAAUGAUUUACUUAUAUUUAAAAAUACAAUUUAAAUAGGUACAUAAUAAUUUUGAAUUUAAAAGAAUGGGUACAUUAAUCUAUAAAUGAAAUUUGAAUUAAAGAGAAUUGGUAACAAUUGAUGGAAUGAAAAUUUGAAUAUAUUGCAAAAUAAAAAAUCCCCACGCCCAAAGAACACAUAGAAACUAAAUUAAUUGUAAAAGAAACAAAUAAGUUGCCAAUUUGGAGAAGAAAAAAAAUAAACAUUAAAGCGGGUGUAUCCAAUUCAAAUUUUUAAUGAAUUUUAUAGAGUUUAAAAGUCUGGAGGUAUUCAAUUUAGAUUUUUAAAGAGUUUAUAAAAGUCUAAUGGUAUUCGAUAGUGAUUUUAAAAAUUCUUAAAAAUUUUAAAAGUUUUGUGUUAUCCAAUUGUGACUUUUAAAAAUUCUUUGAAAAUUUGGUGGUAUUCAAAAAGUUAAUGACUUUUAAAAAGCUUAUUAAAUGAAGGAUUUUUCCAUACUUUUAAGACUAAUUUGUUAAUAACAAAAGCCCUAAAAAAAGGAAAUAUGAUAAGAAGCCUAUAAAUACCAAGCAGUAUAUGGCCCGAAGUGGAUUGGCCUGUGCUCGAUGGGCCAAAGCCCAGCUCGAUUAGUUGUGUAAGCCCAAUCGGCCAGGUCCAUUAUAAGAAUAGAUAGGACUUGGGCUAAGAAUUUGAAAUCCUAAAUCGAACGGCCGUCUAAACUCAAGCCAGUCUGCGUAUAAAUAUAUUUAAGAAUAAUGUAAUAUGCAAGAGUAGUUUCAUAGGGGACACAUUUGACUAUGUGAAACGAAAUAAAAGACUCAAUAGUGGAGCAAGUUACGGCUACAUCAAUAAGCACGGAACAUAUGACAAAUGAACAUGUUUGGUAGAUAACUGGUUAUGAGAAAGUGCCCCCCAUCGAAAAGGAUCUAGCCAAGGUUGUGGUCUAGCAGGCCAUCGUAGUUGUUAUUUCAGUCAGGUAGGAUUUCAGGAAUACAAAGGUGGUGUACUUAGAGAUGGUUGUGCCUUUGUUUUUUCUUUUCUUUUCUUUUUCUUUUUUUUUUUUGGCCAUAUACCAGCAUACACUUUGUUCUAAUUGUUGGCUACGGGAAGAAUUGUCACGAUGACUAUUGGAUAGUAAAGAAUUCAUCGGCGAAGGUUGGGGCGAGAAGGGCUAUGUGAGAAUUUAUAGGGGUGUCAAUCUUUGUAAUACCACUGAUGAUUCUAUAAGUCCGUUGGAUAAAUAUAGGGACCCGCAUAAAACGAUAACACGUAGUUGACCCGUUGGAUAAUUAUGGAGAUUGGGAUAAAACAACAUGGAGGAAUGGGAUAAAAUAAUAACACACGGAUGAUCCAUUGGUGUCAAAUGGGUCAGGUCGACCUACCACUGUAUAAGUUUGGCUCGUUUAAAUGAGGCACGAUAUAGCUCAAGUAUGAUUCUUGUCAAGCUGUGUCAAGCACAACCCCAAAUUUGGACCUUUGUCGGACUCGAUGAUGCCCAAUGAGUCAAGCCGGCCCAAGGCAUGAUAUGAGUCGGGCCGACUCGACACAUGACAUGAAUCAGACUAACUCGAGACAUGACAUGGAUCAAGCCGACUCAAGACAUGACAUAGGUCGUGUUUGGCCUGAGCCCGUUACAGGCCCAACCCACUUAUCAUAGAAAAUUAAUAAUAAUGUCAACGGGAUUUAAACCUAGCACAUUUUCAAGCAAAAACUCAACCAACUUACCACAUCAAUUAUCAUGCUUAUUUUGAAUAAAGUAGAAAUUAAGAUUAUAUAACAACGAAAUAAGUUGUGGGUGCUAGUUUGUCAUUAUAUCAAUGAAAUAAAAUGACAGAAAAUUCUCGUUAAAAAAACAGGAAGUUAAAAUGGGCUGGUGGUUUGGCCCAAUCAUGCUUUGCAUGAGCCUGUAGCUGAUCAUCCAUGGAUGAUAAGCCAAAAAUUGAUGAAAAAGUAUCCUAAUAUAUCAGAGCCUAGUUUCGAUCUAGGGACCUGUGGGUUAUGGGCCCACCACGCUUCCGCUGCGCCACUCUGAUUUGUUGAUAUUAUUUUGUAAUUUGAUCUAUAUGAACCUUCUUUAUUCUCAAAAGGCUUCCCGAAUAACAGAGGCACAUGUUAGGCCUACUACAUAUAUUAGUGCCAUUAAUUUCAUAUCACAGAUAAAAAAAAAUUACAAAUUUAAUUAUAUACCUAAUCUUAGACAUAGUCUUAUAAAGAAACACUAUAUUAUUUAAAAAUUAUAAACACACUAUAAAAAAAACCCCCAAAAAUCGACAAUUGUAUAUUUUUUAAUUUAAAUAAUAAGAUGAAAUAUCUUUAUUACCCUUUUAACAUAAAAUUGGAAUUCUAAUCUCUUUAUCUUGCGUUGAAGUCAGAGUAGAACUCAUUUCACGAGCUCUAGUCUCUCAUCUUCAUCUUCAACCACAGUUUUCAGUUUUUGUUAUUCCAUUUCUUAUUUUGAAAUCACCUUUCUCUUCGGACUUUUUGGAUUGUGCGGAUGUCUACGUCUCCUCUCCAUUAUUGGCUCUGACACUUUUCAAGGGACCAAGCCUCAGCUCGCCAAAUCGGAUCAUCUCGACCUCUCCAAAUUCGUACUCCUAUACUUUCUUCUUCAUCUUUUUGUUUUUGGUUGUAGAUUUGUGGGCGAAGGUAUGAGAUUGAAAUUAAGGUGGAAUGUUACAGCGAUAUCAAAGGAACCUCUAUCUCGACAAGUCAUCGUCUCGGCGUAAACGACAGCCGAGGACCUCACCGGUUGUUCUAGAGUACUGCACAACGCUAGUGACUUGUCGUCUUCAGUUGUGGAGGAAGAUGGAGAUUUCGCCGUGUCGUCAUCGUCGUUGUUUGGUUUGGACUUGGAAUUUUUGAUCUUUUGCUUCAAUUAUGUGUUUCUCUUUGGAUUUUAGUUAAUUUGAGGAAUGUAUUUUAAGCUUUGAUAAUCAAUUUAUCAUUACUAUUUAGGUUAUGGAUCUCAUUUUUGUUUAACAAUCUACUUCUAUGAUAGAGUAUUAACAAGAUAGUUAUAUGACAGAGUAUUGACAGUGUACUUCUAUGACAGAGUAUUGACAGUGUACUUCUAUGACAGGGUAUUAACAUGUACUUCUACGACAUAGACUACAAGAUAGUUUUAUGAUAUAGUAUUAACAAUGUACUUCUAUGAAGAGCCCCUGCUUGGUUUUAGCAAAUUUUUUUUAAAAUAAAUUGUUUGGGUUUUUAAAAAAAUUUUGGGCUGGGCUUGUUUUGGGUUUUUUUUUUCAGUUUUUAGUUUUGGUUUUUUUAUAAAGCUAAUUAGUGGCAAUCAUAUCAUCUAUAGGAACUUAAACACCAAUUUCUUAUGCAGUAAAUGAGUUUUAGGGAUGUUUCUAAAGUGCUUCCAUGUGAGGUUCUUUAUAUAUAUAAUUUCAGCCUAUAUUUUGAGUAUAAUAAUGAAGUUCCCUAAUAUUUUUAGCAGGGAAAAAAAAAAAAAAAAACCAUCUCAGUGCCCCACUCACUAUUUUAUAAUAACAUAUCAUAAAUAAACACAUCGAUUUGUUUUGGGGGAGCUUCUGUAAUGAGGGAUAAAAGUGAAAGAUUAUAAUGAGGGUAUUCAAUCCAGCGUCCAAUAAUAAUUUUGCACUAGAUCGAACGACUAUUAAGUAACCCCUCAUUAUAAGUCCUCAUUUUUACCCCUCAAUAUAGCCUCCAAGAGGUUUGGGUUGGGUUGCACCAACAAUUAUACUUCAAUGAAGAUGGUUAGUUAGUUUAGUUACUAAAUGGGACCAUAUAUAGAGAAACGUGUCCAGCAUGUCCGUGAAUUGAUAACAACCUUUGAUGUGUUGGUUUAAGGUUUUAUGAGGAACAACAAAACCAAACCUAUCCACCCAACAACUCCUUGGCUACGAAUUAAAUCCAUGGAAUAACAAGUGGGCAGUGAGGCUAAAAUCAUCAAGUCCCUCCUAAUGGAGGAGGUCUUGGAUGGACCGGAUAGAUCAAAAUACAUAGAAAAUUUGACUUUUGUGUGGGUGAUCAGAUACAAUAAUCCGACCGACAAACAUAAGAAUUUCUCUUCAAUCAGAUCAUUAAAAAUUGCUUACUUACCAACCUUCUAGGAGGAACAACUAAACCAAACUUAUUCACCCAACAACUCAUUGGCUACUAAUUAAAUCCAUGGAAUAACAAGUGCGCAGUGGGGCUAAAAUCAUCAAGUCCCUCUUAAUGGAGGAGUUCUUGGAUGGAUUGGAUAGGAUCAAAAUACAUAGAGAAUUUGACUUUUGUGAGGGUAUCAAAUACAAUGAUCCGACCGACGGAUACAAGAAUUUCUUCUCAAUCAUAUCAUUAAAAACUGCAAACUUACCAACCUAUACUCCUUAUGUACCUCAUUAGAGCAUUUGUCAAUCAUUCAGGUUCUGUGCUGAUAGCUAAAGCCUAAAUUGAUGUCAAAGUUCAGUCAAUAUUGCACAUAUAGUUUGGAUAGAUAAAUCCAAAAUCUCUUAAGUUAUGAAUUGGGAUAAAACUGUAAAAUAUGGGUUUACUUUCCAAAUAAAACAAAUAGUAUUGACUUAUAAACUCCACCUUCUGCACACACAUCAUCAUUAUUUUUACCAAAAUUAUUCAGUAAUUUCUUAAAGCAGGUCAUUGCUCAAAUGGGGUUUUCAAGUCUUGAUGACUUUUCAAAGACAUUGAUUAAUUGAGCUCAGUUUGUCAUUUAAGCUAAUUCCUUGAAGCUCAAGGUUAAGAGUCUCCCAAUGCUUACUAAAGAAGAAGUAUUCUAAUAUUCCCUAUCCAAAGUACAUGAGGCCAGAUUUGGCAAAUCAAACUGCUAAACACAUAACAGACAGCUGCAUCUUAUCUGUUUUUUUUUUUUUUUUUGCAUGCUCCUCUACCAUGUAUUAAUUAAUUCCAUUUUCACCUCCAAUUCAAACAUGCAAUUCCAACUCUACAAAAAGAAUGCAACCCAAAUCAAAGCACACAGGAGGAGGAGGGCAGGUUCUUCUAGCUAGCUAAUUAUGCAAACCUCCAAAUUGUAACAUGCCCUUUGACAAUUUGGAUGCCCUUUUGAAAGAGAAGUUCUUGACACCUGUCACAAUCUGGUGGAUUCAUCCACUGGUGGGCACCACACUAGGAACCUAGCUCCAUGCUAGCUUUAAAAGUAGAACCAUAAUGAAGCAUUUUGCACCAACCAGCAUGGACAAGAAUGGCCAUGGUGUUAAGAAUUUAUUUGUGAUGAGAGCCCUCGAAAAGGAAAUGGCAGUUCAUAGUUGGCUGAGGGCCUAGACAUGCAUUAGGACAAGAGUGGGUGUGUUUCCAUAAGAAACAGAAGAAGAAGACAGAUUAGGGGCCAAAAAAAAAAAAGUGGACAUAUAAUUUCAACUCUGUCAAAAGUAGCAAUAUAUAUGAUUGGCCAUAUUCUUUGUCAAUUUUAAAUAUAUUUUUUAAGUUAUAUAUCUUAUAAUUAUGUUCAACUUUCUAAGGAAUAAAAAAUAAAAAAACUUAAGUCCACACCAGGUCCCAUGAGGGGGGAGAGAGAGAAUGAUUCUUUUGUACAGUAUUUUUUCUUUCAUUUCUCAGAUUAAUUUUGCUUAGGGAAUAGGGCCAUUGGACAAUGGUGGUUGAUGCCUUGGUGGAUAUAUAUUUCUAAGGGAGACUUUGGAAAAGCCCAAAGGAGAGAGAAAAUUUUUAAAAGAAGCCAAAAUAGACAAAAUUGCCCUUAUUUUUUUUUUGAUUUCUUAAGGAAUCCUUUACAUUUGCAUGCCUUUGGUUUGAAAGUUGAGAGGUUUUUCUGUCUUUUUUGAAAAAGCUUUGGCUUUUUCCAAAAGUGAAAGUUUUUUUAUGGGUAAAAUCUAAAUUUACUUAUUUCUAAUUAGGUGUAAAGAGUUUAAUAAUAAUGGCAUGGGACCUAUGCUUACAUACAUAACAGUAACUGGUGUGCUGAGAUAAUGAACCUAAACAUAAUAGAAGAAUUGACUUUUAUCAACCAAUGCUUUAAAGAUUGGAACUUCUCCAAUCAACUCAAAUUGCUUUUUUUUUUACUAUUUAUUAUUUAUGUCGUUCAACUUUAUCCAUGUGCUCAAACACAAAGGAAAAUUGUGGUGGUUGGGUUUAGAUUGGAAGGAAGUGGAGUUCGUGUUUUUAUAAGUUUCAUCCCUUUGAAGAAAUUUGUAAAACAUAAUAUGUUAAAUUGUUGUCUAAUGUAUUUAUAAGUUUGUUAAAGAGCGAUUGUUGUCUACCUUUAUAGUUAGAUUGUUCCCUCCUUCUCUUCUUCUCUCAUUUUCAAAGACAAAGUUUUCUCUAUUUGUCUUGAUUUUGUUAUGAUUUUAGACCUGCGUUUUGGCAUUGGAUAUCCAUCAUUAUCCUUUUUGCAGUUUCUUUAUGUUUGGAAUAAAUUACCGAGACUCUUUAGGUUCUAUGUGUAGUUUUCACCUCUCAUUUUGUAAGAGUUUUUCACCUCGCCUUUAUGAGAGCUUUUCAUCUCUUUUUUGUGAGAGUUUUAUUUGUAUUGUUAUGACUUGGUUUUUUCAAGCUUUAUCUAUUUUUGAUUAUUCUGAGUUUGUAAUCUUAGUUAGGAUGACUAUACCAGAAUUUCUUCGAUCGUGCGUGAUUGUUAGUAGAGGCGCAUCAGAUUAUCUUAAUUUUGAUGUUAGACCCCUUUGUUAUUGUAAUGGUCCUUUGUGGCUAGUUUGUAUUAGCUCUUUGUAGAGAGUAACUUUUUUGGUUAAAUUAUGAAUGCAAUCCUAAAAUUUUUCAAAAACAAAAAAAAACUAUUAAUUUAAUUGGAAUAGUUCAACUUCGAGUCACCAAACAUUGGAUUUUUUAGGUAACAAAAGUAAUAUAGAGAUUACUAUGUAAACAAAAUGUUAUGCCUUAUUUGGAUAGGAUAAAGUGGUUAACAGCCCAGAAUUUUUUAUAUUAAAAAAAGCAGAGAUGAAAAUAAAGAGUUACCACAGUAAAUAUUAUCUCUCAGUCACUGUAAAACAAAAAGUAAAAUUAUCUCUGGUCAGAUUUUGAAAACCAAAAGAAGUCAAAGAAAUGCCGUCAUGCAAUCGAACGGGCUCUAUGCACCCACGCAAAACUCGGAGCCCGAAUCGGCGGCGAAGAUUAACCGAAGACCUCCUCUCGUCGUCGUUAUCGUUAAACGACAGCACGGGGACGAGAGCACGUUGGUUCAUAUUUAUCAAGAAAUUAAUUUCGCGCGGGUCCACAUAUCAGACGUAGACGAGACCACGUCACUAUCGCAACCCUACCCACAAUAACGGCGUUCCGUCCACCUAGUCACGAACUCAUGAUCCACUCUCUCCCACUACCGAUGACUUAUAAUUACUCGCCUCCCUUCCCCCAACCUCCUCUUCAUCCCCGGAAGCCCUUCGAAACUGCCAACUUAAGUAGCGGUUUUUCUGUUCUUAUUAUUUUAUUAUUUUCUUUUUUUUGGUGAAAGAAAGAAAGAAAAAGAAAAGAAAAAGUAAAUUUUUGGUCCAUUGGGCAACAGUUUUUUUUGUUUGCAGGUUCAUUCAUCUUGGAUGCUAUUUUAGCAGCACCAUCAGUUGAGAGUCAUCAUAACAUGUACGUUUCCACUGCGCUCUCUCUCUCUCUCUCUCUCUCUCCACUCAUACUCUGCUGUUCCACAUUUUACUUUGUGUUCUGAAAGAGUGAAUUUUUUAAAUUGUUUUGGUCUCAGAGGCAGAGUUGCACUAAUUUUGGACUUGGGUUCACUCUAAAACCAGAGGACUUUGUUGGGUCAGAUCUGAAACUGAAAGGAAAUGGUGGGCAGGUGAGUUGAGCUUCUGGGUACUUUGGUUUUCAUUUUUACUUGUUUGUUGAAAUGUUUUCCCAUGUAUAAAUUUUGGGUUUCUGCUAUUUUUGAAAUUUGAACGGCAAAGUUGAAAGAAACAAAGUUACAAAGAACAAAGAACAAAAAGAAAGCUCGGUUUCUGGUGGUACAUACUUUGCUUUUGCAUAAUAAAAUAUGUUCCUUUUUGACUAUAAACACGAUAUUCAAAGCCUGCAAGUUUCCAUUUUUUAUAGCAGAAAUUUCUCAGAGUCACCUCUACUUUUUCUCGACAAUAGUCUUGGAAUCUGAUUUUUUUUCCUUUCUCUUUUCGCUUUACAUUCUGUCUUUUGUAUUUUUAACUUAAUUUGUUUCUAUAUUUGUUUGUGCAUCUUCAGCCAAAACCCUGAAGGGCCAGAACCAUGAAAAGAGAGAAACUUUGCAGAAACAGCUCGUUCUCUGCUUGUAGUGUUGGGGAUUUUGGUAAGGGGAGAGUGAGGGAAAUGGCAGGUCGUUGCAUUCUGUAUUGGAUUUUCUUGCUGGGUUUGGUUUUCUUGCAAGGAAAUGCAGACCCAGUUGAAGAUAAGCAAGCCUUGCUUGAUUUUGUGAACAAUCUCCCUCACUCCCGCUCUCUUAAUUGGAAUGAGAGCUCUCCUGUGUGUGACCAUUGGACUGGAGUGACUUGUAGUGAGGAUAAGUCUUAUGUGAUAGCCGUCCGAUUGCCCGGCAUUGGAUUUACUGGCCAGAUACCACCUUACACGCUUAGCCGCCUCUCAAGGCUGCAAAUUUUGAGUCUUAGAUCCAAUGUGAUAAGUGGGCAGUUCCCUUCUGAUUUCUUCAACCUCAAAAACUUGUCUUUCCUCUAUCUCCAAUUCAAUAACUUCUCUGGACCAUUGCCCGGGGACUUCUCAGUUUGGAAGAACCUCACCAUUGUCAAUUUGUCUAACAAUCACUUCAAUGGGAGCAUUCCUUAUUCGCUUUCCAAUUUGACUCAGCUUUCAGGCUUGAAUCUUGCUAACAAUUCCCUUUCUGGUGAAAUUCCUGAUCUCGAAUCAAGCAAGUUGCAGCAGCUAAACUUAUCUAACAACAAUCUCAAUGGUAGUGUUCCCAAAUCACUUCAGAGGUUUCCAAGGUCGGUUUUCGUGGGUAACAACAUUUCUUUUGCUAGUUUCCCACCCAGUCUUCCUCCUGUUCUUCCACCCGCCCCUAAACCAUAUCCGAAAUCUAAGAAUGGUGGGAAGCUUGGUGAGACAGCAUUACUAGGAAUUAUAGUUGCUGGUGCUGUUUUGGGCAUUGUGGCGUUUGCAUUUCUAAUACUUGUUUUCUGCUCAAGAAGAAAACAGGAAGAUGGGCUUUCUGGAAAGUUGCACAAGGGAGAAAUGUCACCGGAAAAAGUGAUCUCAAGGAGUCAAGACGCGAAUAAUAAACUGGUUUUCUUUGAGGGCUGUCAUUACGCAUUUGAUCUGGAGGAUUUAUUGAGGGCUUCUGCUGAGGUACUUGGAAAAGGGACAUUUGGUACAGCAUAUAAGGCAAUAUUAGAAGAUGCAACCGUUGUGGUGGUGAAGAGGUUGAAGGAUGUAAAUGUUGGGAAGCGGGACUUCGAGCAACAUAUGGAGAUUGCUGGCAACAUUAGGCAUGAAAAUGUGGUUGAACUGAAGGCAUAUUAUUAUUCCAAAGAUGAGAAGCUAAUGGUAUAUGAUUACUACAACCAGGGGAGCGUCUCUGCUUUGUUACAUGGUAUGUUACUAUCUUCCAUCCUUGAUGAGUGUUAACUUGAUAACUGUAAUUUUCUCUAUUUUGAAAAUUGUUGAAUGCAAAUAGCUGAUUGUUGUACUUCUUAUUUUGGAAAUUAAUAACCUUUAGAUCCUGUACAUCAUAGAAGUUGUCUGUUUAUAAGUAGUCAUCUGUAGCUAAAAUUGUUUGAGUAUUUUUCACUUCAAUCAUUCUGAAUAAUUUGUUGGAAUUGUACUACUAAGUAUAUGAUAGAUGCCAGUUGGAACAAGUCCGAAACAUAGUGGAAUACUAUUGGUCUGUACUGCAGUCCUUGUUUUGAGAUGAUCCUGGGUCUGUCAAAAUGUUAGAAUGUGUCUUGGCCUGCUGGAUGUAGCAUAUGGUCAACACUUGUGAAAAUAUUAUGCUGCUAAAUUAUGUAGAUUCGGAUAAUUCACUUUACUCUGUCAUGUGUAGCAAUUCUACUGUGCCAAUAGCUUAGAACUGUUUAAUACUUGAAUUUUUGAGUUUUAGAAGCUACCGUUGAUUCUGACAAUAAAACUAUAGUGACUGCUUAUGAGUCCAGUGGUAAUUUAUGCAUUAAAAUACUAACUAGCAAGUACCAACAGGCCUUGGCAUCCAUACUAAUGUUAUGUUGCCUUGUACCUUCGUGAGGCUUUCUUUGACCAAGUCCAUGCUAUCAAUAUAAAAUGAUCUGUUGAACAUUAGGGAGUAAAUAUCUUCAAAGACAAGCCUAUUAGUGUAAAUGAUAUUUAUCUGGUUCUUCCAUUCUAGGGUCGUUUGUUUGUAAACCAUGUGGUGCAUCGGACAUAUUAACUUCUCUAAAGGUAGAGAUAUGCGAAUGUUGUAUUUAGGGAAUCAUGUGUCAUUCUUUGGUGCACUGUUAGUUUUAUCUUGAUCAAGGAACCUUCAAACCCCCAAAGUUUCUAUGUUCAAAAAACAUCUGUUGUAAGCUGGUAACUGGGAGGAACUCAGUUUUAUUGAAGAAAAUCUAUUGUAUUUGUCGGAUUUGGCAUCUUUCGGAAUGACAAUAUUUAGUUGGUGUCAUGCUUGGGAAUUCUAACUCCAUUGUGCAUGUUGCACUGCCACCCACUGUAGAGAUUAAUAUAUAUCUUGCAUUGCUCUUUCGAUUUUCAGGUAGAAGAGGAGAGGACAGAGUCCCUUUAGAUUGGGAUACCCGACUGAAAAUAGCUAUUGGAGCAGCAAAAGGAAUUGCUCAUAUACAUACAGAGAAUGGUGGGAAGCUUGUCCACGGAAACGUCAAAGCCUCAAACAUCUUUGUAAACUCGCAACAGUAUGGUUGUGUUUCUGAUGUUGGCUUGGCAACUAUAAUGAGCUCACUAGCUCCCCCAAUCUCCCGUGCUGCUGGUUACCGAGCCCCAGAAGUGACAGACACCAGGAAAGCAGGACAAGCAGCUGAUGUCUACAGUUUUGGGGUUGUGUUACUGGAACUCCUCACUGGAAAAUCCCCUAUCCAUACUACUGCUGGUGAUGAGAUUGUCCACUUGGUCAGAUGGGUGCAUUCAGUUGUCCGAGAGGAGUGGACAGCAGAAGUGUUUGACAUAGAGCUCAUGAGGUAUCUAAAUAUAGAGGAAGAAAUGGUAGAGAUGUUACAGAUUGCCAUGUCUUGUGUGGUAAGGAUGCCUGAUCAAAGACCUAAAAUGCUGGAUGUAGUGAAGAUGAUAGAAAGUGUCCGCCGGAAUGAUAAUGAGAAUCGACCAUCGUCUGGAAACAGAUCUGAAAGCUCAACCCCACCACCAGUGGUUGGAACAGAACAUCCAACAUCACAAUGAAUGAACCAUUUGCUAUUUUUCCCAUCUAGUGAUGUAUUUCAUUUCAUCUCAAAAUGUCGUUUUGCUCCAGUGAAUGAACAAAUUUUUUUCAAUUUUUUUUUCUUCUACUUUAUCCCAUUUAGGAAGAGCUAGGUCAUGUAUCAAUGUAGUAGUGACUAUAAUUCUGGAAAUGGCAUUUCAAAUAUGCUUUUUGGUACUUGGAACUCUCUCUCUCUCUCUCUCUCUCUCUCUCUCUCUCUCUCUCUCUCUCUUAGACACACACACACGCAUAUUAAAAGGAGAAUGCAAAAAACAUAUUUUGCUUGAAUAGAUGCAUAGGCAUAAUCGUGCCAAAGAUGCUAUACAUAUCUUUGUGUCAUAUAAAAACUGACUGCAAGAAUAACUUCCUGCUGGCCUCUGCAUGGGUCCUACUAUGUUUUCCUGAAGGAUGCAAUGCAACUGUUUGUACAACUGUUUUUCACAAAAUCUGUCUUUCAAAUUGAUUAUUAACAUUCUUCCACUCCAGUUAAUAUAUAGAAGGGUGUUUUUGUAAAAACUCUUUUUUGUUUUGUUUUUUUAUCUCAAUCAUCACUUAUUUUAUCCAAAGCAACUCACAGCGGAGGGCAUCAUGAUCUACAAGCAUAGAUUGGACAUUUAUUUGGAAAUAUUCUGCUAUUGCACGUGAAGUCUUCAGAGCUGUUUGAUGCUGGCAAAAGCUCAUCAGAAUGUGAAAGAUACUGGAGGGAAAAAUCAAACACACCAACAAAAUCUAAAAGUUGUGUUUGCUUUUGCUCAACAUUUCAAAGCAGUGUCCAUAAUCUACAUGUAAAAAGAUACGUUUCGAAUUAGGGUUUUGCUCAAGUUUAGUCCAAAAGAAAGAAAGAAAAAAAACUGCUUCGUUUCCUGGUUUCCAUUUACAAAAAUACCUUUUUGGGAAAAUUUAUACGAGGGUAUGUUUGGAUAGAAACAAUGAAUUUUGAUAUUGAUAAUAUGGUUACAUUGGUUAGAAAAAUGUUGAGAGAGAUGCUGGAUACAAUGUGAUUGAAAAUACUGGGUACAAUGUUGUACUAUUAUGACCUUGAAAAUGAUUAGGUACAAUGGAUGGAUUUCAUUCUAUUCUUUUUCGUGCUAAGAUUAUAAUGAAGAAAAUCUAACUAUAAAGAUAAAUUUUCAUAGAUUUGAAACCUAACAUUCCAAAUGGAGUCUUGCAAGAAUAUUGGGGAUAAACAAAAAUAUAUAUAGGUAUAGGUGGUUUUGAUGUGGUCAAAUUUUGGGUUGUAAUCGAGAUUUGUCAUGUCAUUGUCAUGACUAACUUACCUAAGAUAUAUCUGCAAUACGACCUAUUUCUUAAUUAAUUUCUAAGAUGCAUCUUAUCCUUUGACUAGAAUUUAAGACUAGAGUUUACUUAUUUUUAAGACUAAAUCAAUUGCCUAGCCGUCCUUAUUGAAAAAAUAACUUGAUUUUCUAACGAUGUCCACAUAUUGGCCUUAACGCGUAGAAAAAUUUAGGUGAUCAUUUUAACCAUAUUACAAUGUGAGUGCUACACAUUAAAUUAUUAAUCUUUAUUAACAAAAUCAUCUUACAUUUUAACUAUGAUUACCUAAAACUAAAUACAAUAACACAUGUUUUUAACAAAUGAUAAGAUUUUUUAUUUUUUAUUUUCUAUUGUCACAAGGGACAAGAUUCGAACACAGAAAUCACUCCUUUUUCUUUUUUUCUCCAUUGUACCAUGGUCUAUAGAAUGGCACACUUUGAUUGGACGGAUGUGUGGAGCAAAAUUACAGUCUUGUCCCCUCCUCUUUCCCUAGGUAUAAUAUAUAAACUCAUUUUGAGUGGUUGUUCAAGAGCUACCACCUUCUCAAUAAACGCAAAAGAUUAAAAAGAUAAAAAAAACAUAAAAUCUAAAUCAAUAAUAAAGCAGGAGGUUCUCUCAGGUCAAGGUACUCUCUCUACCAUCUCUCUGCUACUUGCACACAAGAAAUGAAAUUUGGGUUUUCUUUGUUGUGUGUGUGAAUUUAUUAGAUUGAGGUCAGGUUCAUCUAGGGUUUGGUUUGGUUUGUUUGUUGGCUUGUGAAGGUGAUGGCGUCGAAACGGAUCCUGAAGGAGCUGAAGGACCUCCAGAAAGAUCCUCCUACUUCAUGCAGCGCUGGUACUUUCCAUUUCCAAACCCGAUCCGUUGCCUCUUCUUUUUCAUUUUAAUUCUGCUCAAGUUUUAAUUUUGUGUUUUUGGGUAAGAAUUAUGUAGAAGUUUGUUGAUUGCAUCCUCUUUUGAGAUUUUGGCUCAUGUGUACCAUCUGAUUUGAGCUUCCAUCUAUGCUUAUUUUUAGAAAUUUGCUAUUUUUUAUUAACCCAGACCAGGAAAUCUGUGCAAAGCUGCAGUCUUGCACCGAUUUGGUGGUCAAAUCAAUUUUGUAUUAUUGUUCUCAUGCUAAAUUAUGUGUUUGUCUCAUAAUCAAAUGGAAUUGCAUUAUUUUUAAGUUGGUCAACUGAAUUUCAUCGUUAAGAAUCAUCAGAGAAUAUGAAAGAAAAUAGUGAAUGAUAUGGGAUACUGAAGGUGCUAUUGUGUGGCAGUUGUUACCCAUACCGAUUUCCUUGCCCUAAUUAAAUGGCAAUAGACCUCCUACCUAGCAUCUUGGGUAUAAAUGGGUAAUUACCCUUUUAACUCCUUGUUAAAUGGUCUGGGUUGUGGGGACCUGUAAUGACCCACUGAAUCCUCAGAAAGAAAAGCUUUUAAUUUUAAGCCUGGUUAUCUGUAUAUCCGCAGUGGUUGGGACUGAUUUUUGUCAUUCUGAGUCUUGUAUGAUUUUGAGGGCUGAGUAGACAUUAAAGGUGUUAAAGAGGGAGGUUCGGGCAGUCAAAGAAGUUGGCUGGUAAUUUGAAGUUGGAACAAUGUUAUCCUUUGGUACAGCUGUUGUAUUGUUUUAAAUGUUGUGGUGGGAAGACUCAUUCUUGUCUGCCAGGGUGGGUGGUUGAGUAUUGUUUCGGGGUUUCUUUCUUGACGCUUACGUCAAUAGAUUCUCUGAAAUAGCAUUCCUUUGCAAGUGAAGGAUCAAAUGCUUUCUCUUUCUUCUUUUAAUAUAUUUCCCCUUUGGAACACUGUCUACACCAUUGAGUGAAUUAUAGUAUCUUGAGCUGGAUAUUUCCAUAAUGGACCUACACCCACCCACCCUUAAAAUUGGAUUAGAUGGCCAUAGGCAAUAGAUAUAAGUGGCAAAUAAAUGGUAGUUCUUAGUCUAUCUAGUUUACGACGCACCCUAAACUGACUCAUUUGCCACCUUUGGUGCCAUAAAUGCUAUAUUAUUUUGCUGUUAAUUUGAAGAUUACCAUUACUUUGUCUUAUAUAUGGAUAUCUUAUAAAUGAUACACUUGUUUUUGAGUUUUGAAUAACUCAACUGUGGUUGGAAUCUUUUUGUCAUCAUCAUCACGCCACCCUGGAUUUUAAUACCCUUAAUGGCUGCAAAAGUUCAUUCUUUUGGGAGAAUAUGAAGUCACUCAUUUAUAGCCACAGCAGUCUAUCUACUGUGUGGAAUAAAUCUAUGUGCAAGUGAAACCCUUCAAAUCUUUUAGGCAAUUGGAACUCUUUUGUAUCAAAUUUUCUCAAUGAAUUGGUAACUUUUGGCUGCUUUUUCUUUUCAGGAGAAAUUUACACAAUGAAACUAUUCUGAUAAAUGACUACGUCAUUCUUCUCAGCAGAUAUUCAAUUUGAUUGUCUUUACUCUAAUGUAUAUCUUUAGGGCCAGUUGCAGAAGACAUGUUCCACUGGCAAGCGACAAUAAUGGGUCCUGCUGACAGUCCAUAUGCAGGUGGAGUGUUCCUUGUCACUAUACAUUUUCCUCCAGACUAUCCUUUUAAACCACCCAAGGUACUUGCUAGCUUUCUAUAAAUUUCACAUCAAAUUGGUCUUCUGUUGCAUGGAAGUUCCUUUUUUUAUUGCUUUCAUGUGAGAGAGAGAGAGAGAGAGAGAGAGAGAGAGAGAGAGAGAGAGAGAGAGAAUCUGGCGCAUAUUGUCUUGUGGCCUAUCACACCUAUGUUUGAUGUCAAAUGUAUUUUCAGACUCCCAAGGGAGUUGAUAACAUUGUGAUAGUAGAAAUUGACAAUUAUAACUUAUUUAGCAAUGAAGUAAGAUGGUGUUCCUGAAGUUUAAAAAAUCCCAAAUUUUAACAAAUGACUAGGAAAUACUGAACUUUUGCGCAUUGUUUGUUUUCAAGAUCAUUUCCAUGUAAAAUUGGCACGACAAACUGAAGAUUUUGUUGUCCAACUUUUCAUUCGUUCAUUACUUUUUGCUACUUAUAUGAUCUUUUGUGCAGGUUGCAUUCAGGACAAAGGUGUUUCACCCUAAUAUCAACAGCAAUGGUAGCAUUUGCCUUGACAUUUUGAAAGAACAGUGGAGCCCUGCCCUGACCAUAUCCAAGGUAAAUGCUUAAUUCCUAAACAGGAAUAGUUUUUUCAUAAAUUUUGAGCGUUCUGUAGAAACUUGUUUCCCCUAUUGGGAUUCUACAUAUGAUUCCAUUUUAUGUCUAUAAUUUCGGAUGCGUCAAUACAGGAAAUGCUAAUCAAUAGGGCUGAAACUCAGGUUUUUACAUACAGAAAUUGCAAUUGUAUUACCCUGAAGUUUUACAAGUUAAGAUUUGCACAAAAGAUAAAGAGCUCUAUGCAAUGAAACAGCAUACAAUCCUUUAUUGACCAAAAUGAUUUGCUUUUCUUUAUAAAAAGAAAAAUAACAAAUUAUCAUCUGUGCUAAUUCUUGUGUCCAAGAAAUUUUCCAUAGUGAAGUACUGAUUGAUCUUGUGGAUCCCAUUGCAUUUUGCAACUGUUAUGAUGUUGUAUACUGAAAAUGAAACAUGGUUGAAUCAAUUGUGCCAUAUUCAUUGAACCUGGUAUGAUUGGGAAAUUUUGGUGCUGUUAUAGUUGAUGCAAUGUUAUGUUAUUUGUGUUACUGAAGCAUGGGAACUGGUUUCACUUUAUUUUCAGGUAUUGCUUUCAAUCUGUUCACUGUUGACAGACCCCAACCCUGAUGACCCUUUGGUUCCGGAGAUUGCCCAUAUGUACAAGACUGACAAGAACAAGUACGAGACCACCGCAAGGAGCUGGACUCAGAAGUAUGCUAUGGGUUAGUGUGAGCUGCUAGGACACUGAGAGGAGGGCUUUCUGUCCCUGUGGCAUUGAUCUGGUGAUCAGAUGUAUGAAUGGCGUGAUCUGUUCUUCACAUAAGUGGACCAAUAGGGAGAGUAUUCUGCCCUCGGAACGCAAUUGCUUUGAAUUGUUAAUUUGUUAUGCAAUAUUUAUAUAUAAGACAUUGAAACCAUCUUAUCUCUCUCGUGUCUGAAACCCCCUAACAACCCAAAAGAAAAUGAAAUUUGACCCCACAAAGUCGAGAUAGAUAUGCCAUUGAAAACAUGUUAAGAGUAUGAACCCACAUAAUAAUUGCAUCACUUUAUGCACAUAUUAAAUUAUCCCAUGAUAUCUUGGGGAUUUUAGAGAAUUGAUUGAGUGACUGGCCAGGUGUUUGUAGUUCGUGUUGAGCCGAUUAUCUGUGUAAAAGGUUUGGCCAGGUUAGGUUGUAUAUCAUGUGUAUUAAAUUUGGUUGAAUCUGGCAGUAGUGCAAAAGAAUUUUUCAUCAGAACCAAUAAAUUUUUAAUUGAACUAAAAAGAAGACAUAGAAUAAAAUUGGGAAGAAAAAGUAGCCCAGUUGUGUGCAGGCAUAUGGGCCAUCACCAUUAACAUCAAGCUGUCACAUUUGUGUCUUGACACAUGGAUGGAAAGGAGUUCAUUUCCCAUCGGGGUAAAUGGGUUGGGCCCAAGAAAUCUAUUUUGAACUGAGAAGGUGAGUUUUACUUGUGAAUUGAUAAAGAAUUAGAACUAGUGGUAUCCUGCAAGAGGCUUGUAGUUAAAGUGGUUAUGAAUAUGUACCUAUAUAACAUGAGGUCGUAAGUUCGAUAUUUGAUUUUCCCUUGUAAUUAUUUUAGGAUUAACUUGGAGGUUUCUACAGACCAAAUCAUAUAAGGAGAACAUUUACAAGUCACAACCCUCUUUGGAUUUGUUCGGUACUAAAAUGAAGUUUCAAGAAAUUGGCAGAACACUUGCACGUUUAUCUCAUAACAGUUGAUGGUGUGUGGUGGGUGAUGGGUCUUGAUAUAUGAUUCAUAUAUAUAUAUGCUGGAAGAAGGAAAAAGCUGUUCAGAAGAGGGUGGCCCACUGGGGUUACUGGGCUUCCAUUUCUGUGUGGCCUUUCAACUUCAAGCACUCUGAGUUUUGAGGUUGCCUUUAAGUUUCCUGGAUCCUGCAAAAAUCUAAGAAAAAGAAGUGAGGAGGAGGAGGAGGCCUAAGCCUAACAAUGACAGGAGCAAAAAUCCAAGUGACAGUACAAGUAGAAUGGUAAAAUCUUCUUUAUGAAGCAAAAAAACACCCAAAAAAGAGUCAAAAUCUUGUUAAUUAAUGAUCCAAAAUCUAACCUUAGCUCCCCCACACCCUUUUUUUUUCUCCCUGUGGUCAGCAUCAGAACAAGUGGAUGAAUAAAACAUCAGUCAAAUUGUAAAAUUUUUGUCAGUACAUUAUCAACAUGUUGCAUAUCAAUAUUUGGAUAUCAAAUCCCACACAAACAGAAGAUGACAAUUCUGUCAUUUGGGAACAAAUGUAGGGCCACAAUCCUAGGGCAUACUCCUACGAACAGGACCUAACCCUUACCCUUGUUUUUUAACCCUAGUCUUUUCUCAUUUUCAACGUGGUAAAUAUAAAUUACCAAUAUAAAACUGAAAUCAUGGUCUUUAGGGCAUGCCCUACAAGUUGGUUCUAUAGGGUUAGAGCCUAGGGCCAAGGGCCCUAGAGAGAGAGAGAGAGAGAGAGAGAGAGAGAGAGAGAGAGAGAGAGAGAUACUUGUUCCCCUCACGUCUCGCUUUCUUUACUCAGUGUUGUUGUCGUUGUUUGCUGUGUGUGUAGCCUUGGCCUUUAGGUAGGCUUUUUUCACCUCUUGUGUCGUUGAAAAGCCAUUUUAUGCUCCCACAUGAGCCUUUAUUUUAAAUCAAAAGAUAUAAUUUUUGCUUUAUUGUUAUUAGGUUCGAAUUAAUUGAUUCAAAGUCAAAACAUUAGAGACAGCUUUGAAGAACAUCAGCCCAUCUAUCUAGGGGAACCUCUUUGGGUGGUGCCAGUUCUCACCAGAAUAAAGAACUUCUUCAUGCGAAUGUGAGCUAGGGGUAGACAGUACCCUUUCUUGUACUCAAGAUCGAAUUUCUCUCUUUAUAAAUUAUAUUUAUUUAGAAUAAUUUUUACUAUCCUUUGUAUGAAAGAAAAAGAAAUUAAAAAAAACUUAUUCCUAUGACACAAAACAUACAUGUUGUGUUCUUAAAAUUGUCAUGCAUGUUCAUAUUUACAUCAUAUGUUUAAAUAAGAAUUAACUUCAUCAGUUUUUGAAUUGAUAAUCUGACAAUAUUAUCUACGUAAACCAUACGAACUCAAGAAUCCACCGGCCGGAAACUAUGGAGUCAAUAACCAUGGCCUGUUAACCCUUGUAAUUUAAUAAGGUUUUGUUCCCCAUGAAAACAUAAAACAAAAGGCAAAAUGAAGCUUAGUUAGUUGUAUCUUAGUGGCACAGAGAUAUCAUGUUUUUCUAUGUCUAAAACACCAUUGUAUUUGGAGUAGUUAAUUCGAAUUGCACGUGGAAAGCUUAAUGCAGAAAAAGAAAAAAGAAAAAAAUCCAAAUUAAUGAAUUAUCCCCCGGCAAAUGGGUCGUGCUUAGGAGUUGGAAAGGACCCUGGCCCCAGAAAAUCAGGCCCCUAAUUCCUACUUUAAUCACAAUUAGUUUUCUACUUUUAAAAUUAAAAUAAAAUUAUUAGUGUACUUUGGAGGGCUUAUUAUUGUCUCUACUGAGGACAAGAGUGACUAUUACAAGCUGCUGACCCCCACUCAAAUAUAUGUGAUGUGGCCAUUGUCGAGCUUGGUCUCCAUUUCUUUAGAAACUCUUAGCAGUUUCUGAAGUGGGCUUCAACCAAAGUUUGGUUAAAAUAAUGUUGAGAUGUUAAUGGCUCUUUUAAUCAUUUGUUGAUUGGAGUCUAAUCAUUUAAUCAUGUCGUAAUGUUGAUUGUUCAUUUGAUCGUUAAUCGCUUUCGAAUCCCAAAUUAAUCAUGUAUGCUUUGAGACAACACCAAAAGCCAAUUAGUAUGAUAUCCCUUAAUUUUUUCCGUCACAUUGCAAUUACAUUAUUAUUCUUUAUCGAGCUUUGUUUUCAUAUUCGUUUAAGAGAAUAAAUUUUAAUAGAUACUUUUUUGUUAGACGUGACAGAAAUUUAUAACGUGUUAUAAGUUUUUGUUCACAAAACAGUAGAUGCAAUGCAUUAAAGAGGCUUCAUUAUUGUGUUUGAAAUCAUGGACCAAACAUGUCGUCUAUUAUAUAAACAUGCCCAAUCAUCAAAAUAGCAAAUAAUCAUUGUUGCCUUAUCGCUUGAAUUAAUACUCUUUUUAUGCAUAAUGUGACGGUCGGAUUAAUAAAGAAAAUGGGUGGUCCAAAAGUGAAGUUUGGUGAGUCUUUGAACCUAAACCCAUAGAAAGAAACACAUUAAACAAGGGUUUAACAUUCCAAGCGUGAUUUUGUUCCCAAAUGUUGGCUGUCUUCUCAACCCUUAAACCCUCAAUUUCAGGGUUUCCAAAUUCGAAUUACUUUUUUUUUCACAAAAGAACAAUUUCAUAGUUCCUGCUUUGGAAAUUGGAAAUUAUAAAAAUUAUAAAAACAAAAAACAAAAAAACAAAAAAACAAUCAGGGAAGCCACGUCACGAUCACAUGGCAAAAGUUGAAGUUCUCAUAUCGGUUUGAAACGGUGAGCUAUCAGCAGAGGCCAUUAAAUACUUGCCGGUAAUUCACAUGGCAAAAGUCUUAUUUUAUUUUCUAAAAAGAAACUAAAUCUUACUUUUUGGUUAAAUUAAAUACAAAUAUGAAAAAUACCCAAGUGAAACUCCAAUUUCUUCAUGAGAUUAUUAAACUCUUUGGUGAGUUGGUUGUGAAUUAGGUGUUUGUUUGUAGUCUAAUUUUUGCUUGUGAGAGUUUAAAAGUUGUAGUUGUACUAAUUGUUUUAGGCACUGCAGUUCAUGUCUGGCUUGUUCAUACUUGCUGCUUUUAUACCGAAAUUUCUUUGGUCUCAUGAGGGUAUUAGUGGAGAUACACAUUGUGCGCUUGAUGUUGCCAUUGUCUUUUUAUGUAUCUAGAUUAACCAUGCGUGGUUAUUAUGCUUCUAUCUUUAUAUUCCUUUAUGGGUAUUUAUAUUGGCCCUUGUGGUUUAUGGUCUUUGUGCUUAACUUAUGAAUACAAUUAUCGUUUUUCUCUUUUCUUUUUUCUUUUUUUAAAAAAACUCUCAUAAAAAAACACAUAAUCCACAAUAUAUGAAUUUAAAGCUAAUUAAUUUUGUAUAUAUGGAAGUAGAAGAAAAUGAUCGGAUGUAGAUGACAAUAAAAAAAGCUUAGGAGAGUACAAUUCAUCCAAUGUUUCAUGAAGUUAAUAUGGUAGCUGGCAAAAAAGGAACAAACCUUUGUACCCUAUUAAUUUGUAAUUACGAAAACAAAAUUUUCUCUUUGGGACUUGGGAGACUUGGGAGACUUGGGAGACUGGGAGACUUGGGAGUUGGGAGGAGGAGGAGGAGGAGGAGGAGGAGAGAGUUGGAUCUUUCUCUCAUGUUUCAUACACACCAUGAUUGUCGAAUAAUCAUAACUCAAACUCAAGACAAGUUCAUCUAGGUUUUAGUGAUAAUUAAUUGACUUGUAUAAGAACAUAGGGAUACGGUUAAUUCGCAAUAGACCAAAUAAACCAAUAAUUAAUCCCACUUAAACCCAUAAAACAACAAUUAAUUAUUACUUGGAGUUCUCUCUAUUUUUGUGGCUCAAAAGAAUGCACAUCUAGGAGACGAUGCUAAUUGACCUCUUUCUAACAUAAGGUUGGAAACCCGCACAAAUUGCAAAUAAGAAAAUGUUUGAAAGUUAGUGGUUUGAGAAAGCCAAACAUUUAAUUAAACAUUAAUAUUAUCAUUUGUUAUAUAUGUAGCUCACAGACUCAGACACAUGAUGUAUUUGUCGAAUCCCAUGUAGUCUUUGCUAAUUGUUUGUUAUCUAUGGUUUCAUACGGCUACUAAUUAAGCAUGGCAGAUUUCAAGAAAGCCACUACGUUGAGUUUUGUUUUUUGUUAUUAUUAUUUUUUAGAAUCCAAAUGCUAAAUAAAAUGCCCAUUUUCUUCUUAUGCAUCACUGGAUCUCAAACACACAAGUUCCAAAAUAUAUAUAGAAGGCACAAAUAAAGCUGGUAUGAGUUAGUUGUAGUUGUAUUUGUAAUUUUGGACACUGUAUUUCAUGUUUGAUUUGCUCAGGCAUGUGACUCUUACGUUAAAAUGUAUUUGGUCUUUCUAGGCUAUUAGUAAAGAUACAAGUCGUGUGAUGUAGCUGGUGCAUCCUCCUAUAUAUGGAUUAACCCUUUGCAAUUCAUGUGCAUCUUUGUAUUAACUCUUUAUGAGUAUUUGGUUUUUGCACCCAAUUAUUGAAUACAAUUAUCGCUAAUUUAUAUAUAUAUAUAUAUAUAUAUAAAGGCUGAUAUGAGUUUUGAUUUUUAUUUUGCAUGUUCCUAAGUUCAAGAUAUUUUAGGAAAGGUUUCACUUUCUCUUUACUCUCAUAAACACAAAUAUAGAUCUUUUUUGUUUUUUUUUUCCCAUGAAUUUGUUUUGGUUAUAUGUAUUAUAAUUUUUACAAAAAAAAAAUGUGUCUAUAUUGUUGAGACAAAGUUUGUGAUUGUUUUGCUUGGGUAGCUAAAUUCCCAAUGUUGUUGGCAUUCUUUAUUUUAUGUGCAUUCCAAUUUUGCCCGUAUUCAAUUAUAAAUAGUCAUUAGCACCCACUAAUUUUGUUUUUUGUUAAUGAUUGUAACAAUUAACGUUGCUAUCCAUCAUAAUUGGAAGAGAGUACUACAUCAAUACAAUUGUAAGCACUAGCAGCUGAGAAAUAAUCCAAAUUUGGUUAUGCAUCAAAGCGGCAAAUCAUUGCAAAUUGUCGAACUCACAUUCCAUUCUCAUGUUAAAAUAAACGUAUUGACAAUAGCCUAGCAUGGUUGUGAAGGCCCCAACUACCAAAUUAUUGGUGACAUCUAACAAAGAAAUCAAGACGAAAUUAAGAUUUAACGUGUUAAAUUCACGUACAUAAUUAUUGUCAUAUUAUAAAUCGUAAGUAAUAAUUAUAUAAUAUGAUCAAUGAACCAUAUCAUAUUUUAAAUGAAUAAUACUAACACUAUAUGUUAAAUCAUCAACAUAAAAGCUUUUGUACAAUUUAUCAAGUCGUAAGGAUAUCUAAUAAAUCUCCCUAUCUUAACUUUAUAGCCAAUUUGAGAAGGUUGUUGACAAACAUUGUUUAUCAACUAGCUGCUCAAAGAUUUCCUCAUUUUGGAUUUGGAGAAUGCUAUUUUUGACUCUCCAAAAUAAAAAGUGAGAAAAAAGAGCGUAACUACGUAGAGUUCUUAGAAUUUAUACGAGAUUGGCUGAAAUAGAAAAAAUUGUUCGGAUACUUGAAAAAUGAUUAUCCAAGAUAGUUUUCUAAUUAAUUCUGCUAAAACUACAGUUAAAAUCUAGAUGGAAGAACACAAACAACACAAAAAGAAAAAAACAAAUGCUAAAGAGUUGAAAACAAAAACAAAAACUCAAUUAGAAGAAAGACAGCAAUAUUUGCGUUCUGAUACCGAGUAUCAAUCAGCAUGGGAACCCUCACUGUAGUGUGACCAAAAUAAUUAAAAAGAAAUUAAAAUAAUAUCAAGUGCUUUUAAAUCAAGUGGACAAUUUUACGAAAGAAACAAGCAGGACGGCUUUGGUUGUCUGACACGUUGUUCGAGGACUGGUUAGGCAACGCCCCCCACAGUCAGCAUUGCAGUGAACCAACUUUAAAAGAUGGGCUGCCUGGCCCAUGCUCUCCUUCUUCUUUUCAGCCCAGUUGUGUGGUAGGUUAAAUUACUGUUCUACCCUUGUAUCCCCGAGUAAUGUUUCAUGUAUCAUAUUUACCGUACUUAUUUUUCAAAUAAGUAUUUUAGUUGGUCCACCUCUUUGAAAUUAUUUUUUAAAUAUUUUGUACUAGGUAAACUGCACCGAACUUUGAUACAAAAAUGUAGAACGAGCGCAUUCAAGUAAAUAAUGGAUGAGGAAACCAUAUGUGAUUAUUUUGGAAGGGGGAAGGGGAUUAUCAAUCAUUUUCUUCGUUAAGUGGGAGAGGUGAGAUGCAUGUAGAAUAUGAGGAAACAAAUUGUCACGAGUCUGACAGGUUUCAUAAAUAUGUAUGGUGUUAAUAAUGGCCUAACUUCUGAUAGAAAAUGACACUAUUCGUUUAUUGUAAUCACCUAAUAUUGUCAUGUUAUAAUAAAUAAAACUUAAAACAUGAACACUACUAACUAGAAAAUUAGGUUACGAAUGUCAAUGUCCACGAAAUUUUUUACUUGGUCAUUCUUGUAUUAUUAACCCACUGUCUGAGUGACAUCGGUAAUUAUUUAAAACAGACAACUAAGUAAGAAAUUAGAAUGUUCCCGUACUCUUUAAUUUGCUCACAUUGCAGGGCCGGUCCUGCGAAAACUUAAAUUAGAGCCCUCACAUAGUCUAAUAUGAAAAUACUAAAAAAAUAAAUUGUCAUAACUUAAUAUAAUAAAAUAAAUUUUUUUAUAACUAAAAUUCAUUAAUUAGUAUAUAAUAACAAUCAUAAAUCAGAUUCAUAAAUUUUUUAAAUAUUUUUAUUUGAUAAAGUUUAAUAUUAGUAUAUUCGGUAAAAAAAAAAAGAAAAAAAGGGUUCAAGAGAAAGAAGAAUGACGGGAAUUUCUUUUUUUGUUUUGUUUUGAGUGGAAGAAAGUACUUUUUUCUUUUUGUUUUUAGGGGAAAACUUAUGGGUAUGAUAUAUAAUGUUGUUAGUGUAGUUGGAUCUUCCCCUUAUUUUUUUUAAGUCGAACUUGGACCUUAUACCAAGGGAUGUAAACCAACUCAAUCAAAUACAAUUUUGUGUGAAAUUGUUGCACGCUGGAGUAUAUAUAGAGUUUUUAAAAAUAAUAUUAACUUAUAAUAUAAAGUAAAAAAAUUUCGAAUCCUCAAAAAUUAAAAACCAUAUACGAUGACACCACUUGCAUCAUGCCAGGGCUGCCCUGACAUUGAAUACCACCUCCUCCUCCUAUUGCCCUAAUAAAACCAUGCAUAUCCGUUUCAAAGCAUAUAACUAGUGGAGCAAAAGCACCAUCUUUAUGAUCCAACGUCCGACAUGUUACAUGCGUCAUCCUACUAAAUUCCUCAAUGUGAAUUAAAUGACCCAAACAUUUACUCCCAAUAAUUAAAUAUAAAAAAACAAAACGCUUUUGUUUCCCUGAAAUGAAAUUCUCAUCUACUUGGGCACCAAGCAACAAUGAUAUGUCGUCUGUACAACAGUCACCGGCUCCCUCCAAUCACAUCACGAAACGUGUCAACAUAACGAUUCAAAACCAAAACCGUCUUUCUGAAAUUCUGGUGGUGAGGUAGACAGAGAUAAAAAGGCUGGAGGGCAUGGCAUUGGCAUGCAUGGUUGAGGAGAUAAAAACACACUUAUAAAAAAUGGGCCUCACAGUCGAGGUUGCCUGCCACGUUACACUUAGCUGUAAAAAUAUACAAAAAGAUAAGGUUAAAAUUCAAAUGGUAAAAUUUAAAAUUGAAAAAACGCCAGUUUUGUGAUUUUUACUCCCAUAAUGACGAAAACAUCCCGGAGUGCUGAUUUCCGUAACGGAAGGUUAAGUAGUAAUUAUCGUCUACUCAGUGGGUAAUUAAUGUUAUUAAUUAAUCUUUUCUUCAGUCAAAGUAGAACCCCAUGUGUCUUCUCACGUGACCAGAAUCCCAAAUUCCAAGAUUAAAUUUUAAUUUUUUUCCUGCUGCUGAGUCAGCUCCGGGCCCCACACCUGAGCUUUCCCUUUCCUCCCCUCCCAUUGGAUCUCCAUUUCUUACCGGGCCCAACCCGCCACGUGUCACUCGCCCCCCUGCCCGAAUUAUGCGGCGCCUCGUAAAAUAUCUCGGAGCCUCGCCGGGCUCUCUCCCGGUGGGUCCUGGCUCCACCCCAUUCGUGUUUUAAAAUUUAAAAAAAAAAAAAAAUCUUUAAAGCAAAAUUCAACCAAAACAUAAAUUGUAAAUUGUAAAUUUUAUUUUUGGGAAAAAGAAAAAGAUUUUGGAAAUUUAAAGAUGGCUCUUAAACCGGGUUUGCCGAUUACGGCUGUUGGGAUCCUAUAAAGUAGGUAGUUUUGGUAUCCAGCGGAACUGUGCUUCUUUCUCUCUGCGCCUAUUAUCUCUCUCUACCUCCUCACUCUCACUCCACACUCUCUCUCUCUAGCUCCCUCAUUUCUCACUAAACCCACCACCACUCUCAGAGACUCUCAGUUUUUGCUUCUUGCUUUUAAAGGCCCGAUUCCGAUUCCCUUUCCCUUUCCGGUUAAAGCUUUGCUCCACUCACCCCCCCAUCCCUCCUUUUGGCUUUCAAAGCUUCGCUUUUUUUCCCCUUCAAAAAUUUGCCAUUCUUUUUUCCGUACCAUUUGCCAAGGUCCAGAGCUCCACGCUCGCUCUCUCCACUUUUUUCUUCUUUCGGGCGAAACUUUCCGUGAAAUUUCUCGUCCUUUGAUGACACUUUUUUAGGUGAUUUCUCUCCGUUUCAAGCACAAGCAGCUUCUCUGUCACGCUUCUUCCUUCUCUCUGUGUCUUUCUCUCUUUCUCUCUUUUUCUCUCUCUUUAUUCUCUUCACCUCGUGUGCUCUGCGAGAAUCUCCCUUUUUUUUCCUUUCUUCUUCUUCAGCAGCCUCUAUUUUUAGCUCCCGUCACUCAUCUCGCUUUCAAUGCGAAUCAGCUGCUGGAAGACUCUCACAUUCUAAUUUGCUUUGUUACUUGAAACUAUGAAUCCGGCUGUUAAGUACACGCAGCACCGCAGCCACACGAAGAUGGUGGCGAAUUCGGCAGCUGAGUUUGAGUCGGUGAGGCCCAGAGUUGUACGGAUAUGGGUCACCGACGGAGAUGCCACCGACUCAUCCAGCGACGACGAACCCCCCGAGUCGUCGUUCUGCGGGCGCCGCCGAGUCAAGAGGUUCAUCAACGAGAUUACUAUCGAGUCCUGCUCCAGAGAGACUGACGCUGUUUGGAGGAGCCGGACGACGAGGACCGGACGGAAGAGAGCCUCCCCGAAGUCCGGAGGGCCGGCGAGUGGUCGUACGUUAAAGGCGGUAGCUGCUGCUCCCGCCGGGAAGAAGUUCCGAGGCGUGAGGCAGAGGCCCUGGGGAAAAUGGGCUGCGGAGAUUAGAGAUCCUCUGCGACGUGUACGGCUCUGGUUGGGCACUUACGACACGGCGGAGGAAGCCGCCAUGGUGUACGACAACGCCGCUAUUCAGCUUCGUGGGCCUGACGCGCUCACCAACUUCGCUGCUCCUCCGGCGAAGUCCUUGCCAGACGUGAAGCCGGUUAUUAGCUCCUGCUACAAUUCCGGCGACGAGUCUCACAACAAUCUUUGCUCCCCGACCUCCGUGUUGCGGUGUCCAUCACCUUCGAACGAAGAAGCCGACUCGCCGAGUUUCAAAGAGGAGGUUCCGGACAUCGCCGAAUUCCGAAAUGUCCGGGACGACUCUUGUGUAUCGGAGAACUUCUCCGAGUUUUCGGAAUACACGAGUUUCGAAUCGUUUAUUCCGGACGACAUUUUUGAUUUUCAGACACCUGACUUCUUGGAAGAAACGAGUCUACGAGACGUUGGUAUUUUGAAAGAAGAUUUCGGCGAUUUAGGAAAUUUCGGCAACAUUUUUGUUGAUUCAGUUCGGGAUUUCGGGUUCGGUUCCUCUGCGUGGUGCCUGGAUGACCACUUCCAGGACAUCGGCGAUCUUUUCAGUUCGGAUCCUCUGGUUGCGCUUUAGGACGAGUUCGUUUAGGUGACAAAUGACAGUUCGACGUCGUUCCGGUGACAAAGGACAGUUCGAAGUCGUUCCGGUGACAAAGGACCGUUCCCGUUCGUGUUUUGCCUGUUUGACGGCGAGUUUUGUAUCGGCGGGAAAGAAAAUCGGAAUGUGUUUUUUUCUAUUUUUAAUUUAAUUUAAUUUAAUUAAAAAUUUUUUUUAUUAUCAGUUUUGGUUGUAAUUGUUUAUUUAUUAACGUUGAAUGAACAAGAGUUUUGCUACGGUACGGUGCUCUGUUCUUUUUGGGUUUAUCUUCUAAACCCACGUGGCCCGUGACUAACAUACAAGGUAAAAAUCGAUUUAUUAAAAUAAACUUUACCAACCGUCCCAUAAUAUUUUUGCAAACACGUGGAGCAGCACACAUGCUGUGUUUAUAAAUUGAAUUGUAAAAUGAAAAGGUGAUUUUAUUUUGAAUCAGGAUUAUAAGAUUGGCCCGAAUCUAGUAAAAUUCUGACUAGUUCUAGUUCUGGUUGUAAGAUAUAAAUUACAAUCAAUUUGGUGUUGAUUUAUUUUAUAUAGCUAGCAGUGCACUCACUUCCGGUUCACUGAAAUGGUGGGGGGCAAAUAGGUGAAACUGACAAAUGAUGCUAUUUGUACCUAACGUUUUGAAGUUGGCAAAGAUUGCAUUGGUUCAUUUAUUGUAAACUCUCAUUAAUAUCGUUUGGUAUAGCUAUUUAUUCAUGUCAUUGACUAAUAACAUAUGACAAAAUUCUCUUUCUCCGCUACCUAAUUUUUUGGCAUUACACCUUAUGAUGGACAUGACUGUAAUUUCUCAUUGUUUCUAAUUUUAAAGGUAUUUGAAGAAAUCAAAUUAUUUUCUUAAACGUUAGCAUGUAAUUUCAAGCACUGAAGUAUCUUGAUAAAGCGGAUAUUAUACGCACAAACGCAAAAAUGAGUCUCUUUUUUAAAAGUAUAAGUACAAUAUGUACACGAAACAUAAUCAAGGUAUCAUGAUUUUGUGUUUGUUUCAGAUUCAUGGGCAGACUUUUGAUGCCCAUUUGGUGGAGUAAGAUUCUGUAGCGCAAUAUUCCAACUAAGGAUGAAGGAUUUAAACCCUUUUUUAGCUCUAAAAAGGGAUUUUUGGAUAAUGAACAAAUGACAAAUGUAAUUAUCAUUAGUAGAUUAAGUAAUGGUCUAAUCGUGAUCAACCCAAUAAUUACAAUAAAAUUAAAGGAAAAAAAGGUGCUCAAAAAAUGGGAGGAGAGAGUGGGAAAUCCGACUAGGUGUUUAUAUUCAAAUGAGACGUGGCACGUUGUGAUGGAAUUAGGGAUGUGGAAAUCCAUGCUCAUCAUGGUGGCAGUGUUAUGGCUGUUUUGGCUGGAGGACUUGGUAUUUGUAUAUUACAAAUUGUGAUCCAGAUAGUGGCUUUUCAUGCAUCUCUUGGGGGCUUUGGUUUGCACACACGUAGAUAGAUACAUGUAUAUGUAUAUAUAAUUUGAUUUGGUACAUUACAUCAUAUAGAGUGGCCAAUUUGGGGUCCGAGACCAAAAAAUAGAUUUCUGGUCAAUCACGAAUUUACAGGUACAUCACAAAUGAUAACAUUUUCACUUGACAUAUUGAAAUUCACCAAAAAUAGUAAAUUAAUAUUAUCCUCAUUUCAGACAUGUUUUUCUGCUCCAAUUGAGCUCUCUCACUUGUGUGUUUUGUCUGCUGGUAAAAUUUAGAAAGAAAAAAAGAGAGCAUCUUCUAGGGGAUAGAAAGAAAAGGGAAAAAGAGAGUAAAGGAGCACAUAACAGGAAAAGGUCAUGUUUGACUAUCUAAUUCUAAAGCAUGAGUUGGGAGCUUCAUAUACCCAUCAUAGUUUGACUUUGGAGAGUAUCUCAAGAUUAAAAAUAUCUCUUUGUUAAUUUUAUUUAUUAUAUGAUAUAUGUUAAGCAUUGACUAUUCGAAAUUGUUUUUUACAUGACAUAUUAUGUUGUUAGACUGUUAAUCGAAAUUGUUCGAAGUAUAAGUUCGAAUUAAUAGUCACUGAACUCUUUAUAUUUACCAUAGUUGUUAAAAAACCAUACAAAUUUUUUUAUUUUUUGGGUGACAAAAGGGAGUGAGGGCUAGAUCAAUGGUCAUGGUUGGAUAAAAAGCAAUCCAGUGGUCCAUGAGAUUGUCCAGAAUGCCACCAUAUAUUUUGCCACAUUUGUGGCUCACAGUACAGACCCAACUGCAGCUAGCAGCAGCUGAAAACUCACUCUGGCUGGCUAACACUAAGAUGCCCCAAUCCACAAAAGCCAAAAGUAUGCUAGCUUAUUCCUCAAACAAGAGCCAAAAUAUUUAUUAAAUAGGUUUUGGCCACACUGAAAAUAAACCUGAGCACACCCUGCCCUCGUUGGCUUGCUUACCUAAUAUAACAUUGACAAAUAUACCCUGAGAGACCCAAUGUGUCUUUUUCUUUGUUUUCUUUUCACCCUGCCUGCCAAUCUAUUUGGAUUUUUUCGCAUUUCGAAGGCCCUUUUUAUUUUAUGGGUUUUCUUUUCUAGCUAUAUAUACACAACUUUUGUGACAAAUUCUAUAUUUAUGAGGGAGAGAGUACUGAGGUGUCACUUUCUGGUAGAUCAUGGAGUUUAAGUGUUGCAAAUGCAAAGCUUUUGUACUAAUGGAGUGAAAUAAGAUUUUACUGAGUAGGUCUCUAUGUCCUGUGGCAAGGUUCAGUGUCAGAGCGAGGAAUUGAUUUUAGAAGAAAUUUCUUGUAAAAUAUAAAAAUAAAGAGAAUAAAAGCAUAAAGUUUUUGAGUUCUCGUAAAGCUUUUUGGGCGUUAUUUUCAGCCUCCUGUUAGGAUACUCAAGGACUUGUUAGCCCAAUUAAAGCCUUAGUUAGGGACAACAUAAUCCAAUUCCUUCUUGUAUUUAAACUUGGGUCCCUACAAUCAUAUGCAUCUUAUGAAUAUGAACAUUAAUUAUGCAACUUCUUUGGUUUAACGUAGAACUUGAUAACAUUAAUAUUUCACAUAAUUUAAAAUAUUAUCAUUGCUAUUGUGUAUUUUGAGUUAUAGGCACAACUAAGAUCAAAACAACAACUAGCAAAAAAAUUAAUCUCAGUUGAAUCAUCCUAGUCUUAUAAUCAUCAACAAAGAUGAUCUCUAAACCAACAUUAGGAUCGCCACGAAGAUGGCGCUAUGGCGCAACUACACACGACAAAAUGCCAUUCUUCUCUUAUUAGGGGGUUACCUUGUGCAAUUAACUUCUAAUUCUGCAAAUCCAGCAAACUAUAGCUAGCCAGCAGUUGCCUGGUUGAAAAGCUUCAAUCUUUGGAGUUCAAAGUUUGCAUUUAAUAGCUUUACUCACAUUGAAUUGAGACAAAAUCGUACAUGUUUCUGGAUUUCAAGUUUCAACUACAGUCAGGUACACAUUAAAAUAUAAAUGCAUGAACCAACCAACCAAACCAAAUGCAGAAUGCCAAACCAAAAUCAAAAUAUCACCCACCAUGGUCCAUACCAAAUUCAUUUCAUCAUCAACCCCUGAACCUGAAAAUUUGUACCUCAAACCAAACCAUCCUUUUUUUUAUUUACAAUUUUUGUUUUUAAUAAUUUGGGUUUUCUCCAAAUUUUUUAAAAUACCCUUGUGACUUGUUUUUAGGGUCAGCUAGCUACCCCUCACCUCAAGCUUUGUCUGACUCUGGGCUAGGCCGCCUCUGCCCCCUCUGUCUGAACACUCAAAAAUAUAAGGAGAGGUCACAAGACACAAAACACAUGCUAAAACCCAGCCCCACACAAAAUUAAUUUUUCUUUCAUGCGUGAGAGAGAGAGAGAGAGAGACAGAGGGGCGCAAAUAAAUCUUCUUCUUCAAGCAUAAAGCUCCAAACUUUUGCAGAUUCACUGAGGGCAACCACAGCCCCCUAGAAGAUCUUCUUUGUUUCCCACCUCCAUACGAUCAAUCAGGGCCGUACACGUCAUGUCAGGCUAACGGUUUUGAGCCAUCACCUCGAGCAGCGCAGCGCAAGCGUUGUUGCAACUGGCCUUUUCGCCUUUGCCUUGGGCCCCAUUGCCCCUCCUGGUCCCCCUCCAGCUCAGACUUCACUGUGUCUCUGCCCGCUGAUUGCGAUUGCGGCCCCACCAGCUCUCAUUUUGUUGACGUGGCCGUGGAUUUUCGAUGAGGGUAAAGAUUUAGAUUUUGGGCUCACGCUUCAUGACAAAGGCCCACCAAGUUAUGGGCUUUUGUGGCCCAUUUGUGAUGUGAGGCUAAGAUUUGCCAUGGCAUGGGAUGAGAUUUGGUAGAGCUUUCUUUUCUCCGCGUCUAUAGUUUUAUGGGAUUUGUGGUUCUAAAAUCAAGCCAUGCUUUUUGGUCAUAUUCAAAGAUCAAUAGCAAAUCCAAAAAUAUCUCCUCUCUUUUUGUCUUUUGUUAGUUAUAUGAUGGACAAGAUGUUUGGAUGUUGCAAUGGUAAGCAUUUUUUGUUUAUUUGUUAAAUUUUGGGGGACUGCCAUGUCAUGGUUGCGCUUGUGGGAGCUAACUCCGUGAGUUCGAUGCUGGAUAGUUCACUCAAAUUUUUUUCAAAAUUAGGGUUCGUAGUGUUUUUCUAACUAUUCUCUUUAAUUAAGGAGGAAGGGGGAUUUAAAUUUAGGAGCUAUGGAUCUUUCGUCUCCCAAUCAAGUCGCCCUACUAGCAAGGGCGAAACUAUAAAUUUUUUGAAGGGUGGGCUAGUAACAAAUUUUUAGCUUAAAAUCUAAUGAUAUUUUUUAAUAUAACCACACUAGUUCAUAGUCCUAUAAACUAAUUUCCAAUAAGUUGAGCAUAUAACAAAUACAGAUUAAAUGCAACGAAAGGGUUAACACAAGAACAAUGAAAAAAUAGCCAAGAAGACCACAAAACAGACGUUGGAAAAAUAAUAUUCCCUAUUCAUAGAAAUAGUAGAGAAACUGCCAAGAAGACUACAAAAUGAGAGUCUUAACCACAAGUGAGAACGACAAGUUGAUAGGUUAUAUAGGUUUAAUUUUGUUUUUCUUUAAAAACAACAUGGGCUGUACUGUAAUAGGGUUUCUUUCAAAUAAAAAUCUUCAAAAAGCUACUUGGCCUACAGCAUAGGGUAGCCUUAUAGGUAGUUCUAUCCCUGCCUACUAGGUGUUGGCAGUGUUGCUUGUGGGUAUGAUGUGCCUCUAAGUCUGUAACUAAUGUGAGAGGGAGGCUGUCCCCCAAUCUAAAUUUAUAGCUUCCCAUUCCGUCCAAUCUUAUAACCAAAAAAUAUCCACACAAUAUGUGCAUCGUAGUAAUUGCCGAAAUUAAAAUCUGAGGUUCUAUUUAUGCCAAGUCAUGCAAUGUGUGUGGAAAAUUAGGCAGGUCGGGUCAAAUGGGUAUCAAGUUGAGAGAGCAAUCACCCGACAGCAAAAGUGAUGAUGCAGAAUAUUGAGUGAGAUUUCCUCUGUGGGUCUCCCUUUGGAUACGCAUCUACAUACAUGCAGGCAUUGAUAUCUCAUGAUUUCUGCUGCUUCAUAUUCAAUAUAAAACCCCACACUCCAUCAUGCACUUCAUGUGCCUUUCUUUAUCCAAAUGUUUUUUUUUUCCUAGUUAUUUUUUCUUCUUUCAUUUUGGACCUCACAUAUUUUGGUUUAUCCCGAAUUGGCUGUGUCUUGAAGAGUGCCAGUUCCAUGCCCCUGGGCUUUUUCUUUGGGCUCAUAGUUGGACUCUACUUGUUUUACACCACUAUGGAAGCCCAAUUACAAAUAAUUUUCUUGCCUUUGUAGCUGGACUUUGGCAGAAACCAUAAUUCCAAACCAAAAAAUUAAGGGGAAGAAAGAAGACGAGUAAGUAUAAGGAUCAUGCAAUUGUGUUGACCGUUAUUUGGUAUAUUGUACUGAAUUUAUUAAAUUGGAUAACAGUCCAACAUACUAUGUUUUAUAACUUCAAUCUCUUCUAGAGGGGUGAGAUUCUCAAGAACUGGUUUGAACUAAACUUUAAUUUAGUUCAAAUCAAAUCAUGAAACGAUAACAUUUUAAAAAAUAUGAUAGAGACAAUCAGGGUUGUGUGUAUUUACAACAAUAACUCUGGGUUUUUAAAAAAUUAUUAGAAUUAUUUACUGUAACUUCAAUACAGUACUUCCCAAAUAAUCAUCUCUUAAACAUGGUAGAUAUAACUCAAUAUAAUUACAUGAUAUAUGUAGGGAUUCUUUAGAUGAAAAGAGAGAAGAAGAUGGUUAACAAGCCAGAAGCCAUGCCAGCACUUUGGAUGGCGGUGGCUGAUGACUUAGCAGGUGCGGGUGCUGCAUCCAAGGCUGAUGACUUAGCAGGGGCGGCAGCGGCGGUAUCAGGCGCGGCGGCGGUCUUGGUAUCUUUGGAAACGAGCUUGAAUGGGAAAACUUUGCCAGAUGAGCCCUUCUGGUUGACAACCUUGACGUAGAGCUUUUGGCCAGCCUCGCAGUGCUUGCCAACGCCGCUGUAGUAGUAGUUGUCUCCUGUGGUUGUGAAUUUGAUGAUGGUUGGCCCAUUGUAGUACAUGUAGAUCACAUUUUUCUGAGUGCAUCUAUCAAAGUCUUCCUUGUUGACCACUACCACGUUGCCGGAGCCAGGUCUGUAUGGGAAAACUGAAAUUUGGACCACGCAUUCAGACAAAUUAAUAAACAUCAUUAAAGAAAAACAUGGGAAAAAAGGCAAUGAAUUACACUUACCAAGUCUAUCACCAACACCAAAGGUUCUUGGAAAAGCCCAGUCCUGAAAGAAAGUUUUGUUGGGAGGAGUAGUCCAGCCAGCACUUCCUCCAACAAUGUGAUCCAUUGCAGACACUGAUCCCAUCCAGAAACAGCCUAUUGCUGCCAACAUGAACACUGCAAGCUGAAUCGUCCCCAUUUUCUUGCUUCCCUGCCUUCUACCUAUUGAUUUUUUUUGUUUUUUUUUUACUUUAGUGAGCCGCCUGUGUGUUGAAGGAGGGGAUCACCGUAAUAAUAAGAGGUAAAAAAAACUUAAUUGUAAUAUAUGUCUGUGUGCCUUCAACACCAGACGGCUAAAAGAACAGUGAAAUGGGUGCCUUCUAUUAAAAGUGUUUGGAGGUGCUAGCUUGUAUGAUAUUGCAUGGAAAAUGCUUGGUAUUUUAAGGUUUUGGAAAAGGUCAACCGUUAAUACGGUUACAAAUAUGAGAUGGGGAUUUGGCCUAUUUUCAGAGGAGAAGAGUGUUUUUAGCUCUCAAAUUAACCAUCUGUAUGCAGUGUUGUAUCUAAUUGUGGUAAAAAUAUCAACUACCUAAUUGAAGAAUCAGGUGUCUUGUUCAGCCUUAAUAAGCAAUUUGCUAAUUAAUAAACAAUUUACAGGGGUUUAAGGCCUCAAAAUCGAGUAACAGUAUUUGGUUGUUUGUGAUUCAAAUGUACUGUUGACAUAUUUGAAACGAAAUCAUCAUUUUCAGGUACUUCAGAUUGACAUUAAUCUAUUAUGACGAUAUUGUCAGUUAUUACUCUUGUCAAUCAUGAGCAUGUUAAUUUUAUCAAGAUGACUUCCAGCCGUUGAUGCAUAUAAAACAAUACAGUAACAAAUUGAAAUAAGAGUUACCAGCAUUACAUGCAUCACUGGCUUAGAAUCACUCACUUAUAGGCAGGAACUGCCUUUAACAUUACCACCACAUGUUACAAUUGACAAACUCUUCAAGGUAGGCAAUACUCAUUAGUCUACCAAGAUUCGACACCUAACUUAAUAAAACAUGGCUGAGUUAGACAGUUAGACCCGUAUCAUUUCGGUAACCACAUAUGCUUGCCCUAUUGAAAGUAUUAUUUCUUAAACAUGUUUUGUAUAUUUUGAGAUGUUUUCGUUAUCGGAAAGAAAAAUAUCAUGGUUAAGAUCUACUUGGUAUAUGUUAUGUUUUAUCUACCUAAGUGCAAAUGUUUUCAAGAGUGUCACAUGUUUAUGUCUCAACAAUACACAUGUUUACUUUCAUCUUGGACAUGCUUGUCAUUGCAACAUGAUUUGGAUUUCAAAUUUUCCAUAUUCAGUAUUUGGUUUGAUUGUAGGGUGUGUUGUUGGAUGUAACAAAUGUAUCUUUUUUAUUUGCAUAAUAUUUUUCACUUUGGUAGUGAGGGAAAAUAGCGUUUUCGUGUUGCUACAACCCACAUUUGAAGCAUAAAGUUCUGUCAUUAGUCAUAGCCACAAUUUUGAUUUUAGAGAAUUUUUUCCAAUAUAGUGAAGGAAAAUAUCACUGAAUCAAUAAUUAAAUUUAUAAGACAAUACUUUCGUAACUAGUAAUAAAUAUUUAUAACCCUAAAAUAAAAGUAAAAAAAUCAUGAUAAUGAGCUGUAAUAGGUAUAAACAGAAAAGUAAUACAGCCUAUGUAGCACAUACACUCCAUCAAGCUGAAGUGUCUGAGUGUCUGAGUGUCCGACACGCAGACAUGCCUCGAACACCCCUCAACGGUCAAGAUGCGUUUUGAACACGGUGAACUGAAGUCAAGAAAGGCAGGGACCAUUUUGGAAAUUUUGAAACAAAAACUGGGGUCACAACAAAUUAUUGAAACAGUUGUGGGCAUAUUUGAAAUAGUUUUAAAAAGUGGGUUUUUCUUCUCUCCUAGCCAGCUGCAUUUUUCAUUGAAAAAAACCCAGCUUUUCUUCUCUCCCUCUCCACAUAUUCUUUCUUCUCAUCUUAUUUUAAAUUACUUGAAGUUGAAACAUCAAUAAAUGCUUACAAACUGCUAUAGGUGAAGGCGAGGGACUAAUUUUUUAUUAUUUAUUUUCUCAGUUUUAUCAGAUUUCUGGCGUCAAUUUUUUGUUUAAAUAUUAUUUUUUUUCUUUGUUCCUUUGUAGGAGAGCUGAUAUUUUUGACUAACUAAAGAUAUUUGAUAACAAUUUGGUCGUGAGAGAAGCAUCUUUUUGAGUGGGGUACUUCAUUCACUUUGUUUCUUUUUUCUUUUUCUUUUUUUUAUUAUUUAUUUAUGCUAAGUCAAUUUUUAUUUUAUGAGGUGGGAAAUCGUUUUAUGUGUGAAUAAACAUGUAUAUAGUGCUUUAUUUUACUUAGGGAAAGAUGAGUAAUGCUAAUUCAAAUAAGGCCUCUUUUCAUGCUCAAUCAUAUUUUGGAGUACAUUAAUUAUUAUGUAUAAAUGAUGAAUAUGAAUAUUUUAUUUUGUUUUAUUGUAUUAUGACAUUAAAGUAUUGAGUAUGAAUUUUUUUUUUUUUUAAUAUAAGUAUAUAUUAUUAUAAUUUUAUUAUGAUUUAUUUUUAUUUUAAGUGUCGUGUCCCUAUAUCCGUAUUCGUGUCUUAAUUUUUAAAAUUUUUCCGUGUUGCCGUGUUGCGUUUUUAUGUCCCUGUAUCCAUAUCCGUGCAACAUAAAGUACAGCCUACCCGAUCAAAAAAGAAAAGAAAAGCAAAGUAGUACUGUACAGCCUAAUUACCAAAAAUCUAGUCAUACAAUUUUCCCGACUCAUUUGGAAAAUGAAAAUGCUCCCGCGAGAUCAUUCCCAUCGAACUACUAAGGAAACGGUGUCGUUUACUACAAAAGAAGGGAAACAAGGGAAACGCGGGUCAGAGGACCGACAUUGACUAACUUAUGCGCCAAGGCGGGACUGCCAAUUUUUCUCGCUUUUUUUUUUUCCUCGAGAACCAAACAAUCAAAGGAAAAAAACUAGCAAAGAGACUCUGCAAGGGUUUAAUUGGAACUCUAAAACCCUAAACCUUGAAAAGGCUACAGAGAGAGAGCAAUGGAGGACGGUCGUGGUAAGGCGGUGUGCGGUCAGGAGGCUCUGGAUCUGCUAAACUGCGUCACCCAAUCUCCUUUCGAUCAAGAAAAAUGCGUCCGCCUCUUGAAUUCCUUGCGGGAAUGCGUGCUCAACAAGGUCACCCACUCCCUCUUUCUCUCUCAAUCACAUUCUUUUUCUUAUUUCCUCUCUCUAUUUUGAAUUGUUAUGUAAAUUUGUUGCAUAAUUUGUCUCUAAUUGGUUUUUUGAUUUUGUUUUUGUAAUUGAUCAAAUUAGUCACUCAUAAUUGAGAAUGCCUUUAGGGUUGGAUUGCCAAAUCAGUAUUUCUCUUUUCCCAUUGAUUGAGUGAAUAGGUUAUAUGAUUGUGGAUUCUUUUUACUUAGGUCCUGUUGGGUAAAAUUGAUUGAAAAAAGGGCUAAGAUGGAAACCCAGAUUGCACAAUAUUUAUGCCUCUUUUUUCUAGGGAAGCAUGAAGCUUGUUUAUGUUCAAAGACAAAAUCCUAUCACAAUAUUCCGCUUAAAACCAGUUUAUAAUGCAUGCUUGAACUAAUUAAACUGCUUCAUGGUCCUGGUUUGUUUAUUGUCUAAUGAAAUAACUAGCAUAGCCUAAGCUGACUGAUGACUGGGACUCUGACUCUUCCAGGCAGUUUCUUUUCCAAUUAUUUGUAGUGUUGAUGGGAUCUAAUCUUAGGGAAGCCAUUUAAUUUCGGGAAGGCGUUUUUAUGCAACUGGAGUUUUUUAAAGUCUUGAACUUGACACCAAUGUUUCCUCAAGUCAAUUCAUUUUUUCUCCUUCUAAUGAAGUUCUAUGACAUUGAAGAUGAGGGAAUUGAAUUCAAGUAGCCAUGAAAAAGGGCAAUUAGCUUCCCGAUUUCUUUUGGGUUUUCAAGUUAUGCCAAAUGCUGUUGAGAAAUCAAGCCUAUAGAUGCUCUUUUAGUCUUUCACAAAUAUUAAACAGCUCCAAAGUCAAUAUUAACCAUAGAAAUUGUGAUUCCUUUCAAGCUGUUCAUUGUGUAACGUUUUUACAAUCUUGAUAGUUGAGUUGCUAUGAGCUUAUUAGGCCAGUGGCCUUACCUAGAUGUAUCGUUCUAAUUUCUGAAGGUAAAUUUGUGUUUGCAUAUGCAAACACUCACAUGUUUCUUUUUUCCUAACAGAAAGUGAAGAAGUUUUCACUAGCUGACCAGGAACAGAAGGAUGCAAAGCCAAUUGACAAGAAAGCUUGAUUGCAUUCGGUAUUGAUAGGAUUGCUAGGCCUGAGGUCUUUUCUCAUGUCAACGACUCUUUCUUUCCCCUCGUCCAUUUUUAUGUUCGACAAUUGUUGAGGUCAUAUUAUCACGUAACUGAUGGUUGUGUAUCUGAGAUCAGAAACCCUCAUGCCAUUGAUGUUUGCAAAAUGUUAUAUUGAUCUGGAUCUUCAGGGCAUUUCAUUUGGGAGUUUAGACGGAUGGCGCCCCUUUUUGUAGUAUUUGAAACUCCCAUUUAUUAUUAUGUUAAAUUUUAUUCAAGAGGGUCAAAUCUUUUCAUUGUAAUAGUUAUAUUAAUAGAGGAAUGCCAACAGCUUCACUGCUAAUUUCAUCUGAUGUUAGGCCAUAUUAUCUCAUCCGGAAAAUCAAUCCUAACUUUCUUCUCGCAGUAAAUCAAACCUUUCCUUCCUCUUCUACUUUUGUGCUUCAUGUCGUUCGGUAAACGGAUUUGAAAUUGAGAAUAUGAAUAUGGAAAUGCAGCCGCAAUUCCUUGACCAAGGGCACUAGAGCUAGGAACUUUAUGAAGCCCUGAUUGCAAGCAUGGGUUUUGAAAGAACAGAGCCAUGGAAGCGAUGCUCCAUAUAAGAAAUGGUAAAUAUGAAUGUGAAUUAGACCAACAUGCAACAGAGUGAUGACACUAGCAUCAGCCACCAAAGCCCCAACAACAGCAAUUUGUCAAAGUAAAGAAUGCUACAUGCAAUGUAAUCCACAACCCUGAUCAGGCAUCAUCGGCCCAAGUCUUAGACUAAACAAACACUCCUAACCCUGAUUCCAUCCGUUCCCUCCGUCGUCAUGAGCUGAGUUUAGAAUACAGGAACGUCGGCACUGUGGAUGAGGUAUGUGAGCACGAGGGCCAGCAACAUUAGCACGCACGCAAUCCCUUGGUCAAGGGUUGUCCCUGAAAAUAAGAUGUGAGAAAAUCCCAGUUCACAGAAGAUAUAAUCAAAUAGAUGCGACAAAUGCAAUCACAUUUCCAAGACCCCAUAAAAGAUUUCAACCUAAAGAAGCCUCAUAUAAACGCAAAGAACCAAAUGGGUUCACCUAGAUGGAUCCCCUUUUGCAAUAUGUUACAAUGUAAGGCACACAUUCUUUCUCUAUUUGACUCUUGUUUAUCUAAAGAAACAAACAAAUUUUUUUUAAUUUUAAAAAAAAGGCAUGAUCUCAUGAACCAAAACCAUGAAAUUUGAGAUCCAAAGGAGCUUAAACUAAACUAAACUAACCAUCGGUGCCGCUGUGACUGGGAGCCGGGGCGGGACCCGGAGGCAGAGGUGUUGCCUGAACAGCAGAGAUGGCAAUAGCAAAAACGAGAGCAGCAACAGCCACAACACCUAAAGGCCUGGGAAGAACGGCCAUUGUUGUUGCUCUCUCUCUCUCUCCCCCUCUCGGAGACCCUGCAACAAAAUGCAAAUGGCUGCUCCCGAGAGGCCCCCUCGGAGAAAGAGAGAGUGACACAAAUAAUGAGGGGGUAGAGAGAAGAAACCCAAAGAGCCAAACGCUUCUGAGACCAAUGGCGCUUAUUGUAGGCAAAAAGAGAGAGAAAAUGGUGAGAGGAAGAGGCUUUCUGUUAUUGUGUUACAAUUUUGGGCAAGGCCCAGAGACAAAGCCGGUAAUGCCGCUAGCAUCGUGGGGGUGGGGUCCACUGUCCAUGCGCCUGUUUCGGUGAUUGUCUGAGUGAGAGAGAGCCUCUGAGUUCUUCUGCCUGCCCAUCCCCCAUCCCCAUGUAACGUACAGAACCUCAGCCAGGGAAAUUUUUUAAAUUUUUGCCAAUUUUUUUUCUUCUCACCAUUUAAAAUAAUUUUCUUGGAAAUUUUCUGAAACCAUUUAAAAGUAUAACUGUUGAAUAGUGCUCGUACUUCGGUAAGUCCUACGAGAAUUAUAAGUCAUUUUAUUUCAAAUUUUGAAUAUAUGUAAUCACUCACAAGUCACACGUAUUGGUAAACUUGAAUAUUAAAUCAUCGUACACCAAGAACGGAUUCAGAAUUUCAAAAUGAAACGGGUUAAAUUUACUUUACGUACAAAACUUAAUUGCAAAUCCCUAAUUGAUAAUUCAUAACAUUGAAUUGAAAAUUCCUAAUUGAUAAUUCAUAACAUUGAAUUGAAAAUCCCUAAUUUAUACUUCUUGAUCUUAAAAAAAUCCCCAAAUUUUAGUAACAAUAAAUUGAGGAAAGAAAACUGUAGGAUUCCACCAAUAAAAUAAUUUUUUUUGCUAACAUUCAACCAAUAAAAUAUGACACACCAAGAAAAUUGAAUAUGUUAAAGGGUUGAUGCGUGAUGUGGGGAAGGCUGUAGGGUGGGCUACAUGUGACUUUGGGCUGGAAAAUAAUAAAAGCCACUUGGGCUAUAGCCCCAGGUUAACCUGUGGUUUGGUCCGUCCCUGUCGUUGACGUUAUUUAUCAUUAUGUUCAUUGAUUUUUGAGUAUUUAGUUAUGUGUGUGUGUUUGGAUGCAUGAUUCAUUUUCUAAUAGUGCAUUCAGCUAAGACUCUAUCUACCUAAUGAGUUUGGGAGGUGAUACAAAAGUUGUAGACGUUGAUGCUUUUGGUCAUGGAUAAUAGAAAGUAUAAAGAUUAAUCUAGCAAAUAAUUAUUGGACAACAAUAGUUUGUGAAACCUUUUCAUUGUAAAAGAUGCAAUGGUUCUCAUGCAUUCUUUUGCUUUAAAACUUCUUGGUGAUGUUAAGAGAGAAAAAGGGCCAUGGAAAAUGACUGUGCUGUAAACUGUUUUUUUUUGCAAACUGCAUCACGUCUGUAAAUUUGUUUAAUUUACAAGUGGUUUCGGAUUCAUGAGAUUUUUUGUAGAGAUGAUUUUUGAGGGAAUAUCUAAAAAUUAGACAGUUCGAAUCAUUAAAAAACAAUGUGUAAUAGCCUACAAGUAUUUGAGGGAUCCCUCAAUUGAAACUCACAAUGCUAAAAAAAAUCUGACCUAGUGGCUGAUCUGUAUUGCUGGAUAUAAUGGAAUUCAAUUUUGACUUCAAACACCCUAAAAGGCAAUCUCCCUGUCAAAUUAAACUCUUGACCUUUACCAAGUUGGCCCUCUAUCUCUAUGCUACUAGACCUGGAAAGAGUCCUCACACAACCAUUCAAUGAUGAUCAAGUGUGGGUAUGUUGCUUAAUGAUAAGAACACCAAAAUUAGUUUUAUUUUAUUUUUGAUGAAUUAAUAUAAUAGUGAACCUGUCAUAGUUAUGCAUCAUCUGGUGGAUAAACAUCUAAUUAAUCUCUCAUCCAUCCAACCAUAAAUGAAGCUCAACGGCAACUAAAAUCACCACACAUCCAUGUCAUCCAUCUGCCUUCAUUUCAAACAUAAUAUUUCAAUCAUGCACGUUAAUGCACUGCAUUGCAAGCCAAAACCAACCUCUUGUUUCUUGCAGCUCAUAUUACUUCUGCCAUCUCUUUCUCAAAUUCAAUCACAGCAAACCGAAGAUCAGCGCGCUAUGGUCUAUCAUCAUGUAUCGUUGUCGUUGCUAGGAAACUAAAAUGAUCAAGGCAAAGAACCAUUAAUAAAAGUGGGAUUAAUAAGUUAUCAGAAAGUCAUGCAGAACUCCUUAGAAUAAUUAUAAGGCCCUACUGCUUAACAUUGAUCAUCAAAAAGACAGAUUUCGUGCUAAUUAGGCAGCAGGCUAGGAACAUUCUAGUAACAAUGAAAUGAUAUAAAAGGCUAUUAUUGAUCUAACAUUGCAGAGGAAGAUGGCUGCACCUGCAUCAAUAAAGACAAAUUUUAUCUCCUGUUUUGUAAUUUGUGUCAGAAUAUGUGUGCCGUGGAUGAGAGGUUAUGUGUUGUUUUCAUAUUUAUUGAGAAAACCUACUAUGAAGAAACUAUAAAACCCAAAUCCACUCUACCUACCUGUGAUGGCAUCCUUUAUCUGAUUUUUAAUUUCUAUAUAUAUAUAUAUAUAUAUAUUUUUGUAAAGCAACCCAUUAUCACAAUUUUUAUUUUUAUUUUUGUACAAAUUUAUAUCCAUUUUAAAUGUAAUGUAAGCGUGUAUCAAACUGAUGUUAAUAGCCAUCAAGUUAUAUUAUGUGGAUUAAAACUGUAAUUUUUUUCAUAACCCAGUAAUUUUUUCAUAAAAUGGAAAAAUCAAUCAAACUUGCAACUACUGAAUUCAGGUGAGAGAAAUAAACAUUGCCUUAUUAUAUACACACCCACGUGUGUGUGUCUUCUUUAUGGCUUAUCUGAGGCUGAGUCAUUAAUUUCACCAGAAGAGAACUCGUAAAAUUUCGUUGAGACCUUCUCAACUUUUUUUUUUGGGGAGGUAUGAUUCGAAUUUACGAUAUUUUCCAACGAAAUAGUGAGAAACACCAUGUUGGUAAGACCAUUUCAACUUAAGCAUAAACGACUGCUUCAUUAAGACAGGGAACUUGUGUGUGAGUUGAACUUGAAGGCAUGAAAUGGUGAAGCUGUUAUAGUCUGAUCAAGUAAUUGCAGCAAACAUAACACAUUUAAGUUGCAAACCUUAUUUGAUUACAUUAAAUACAAAAGGACAGAUUAAUAUAUUACAGAAAACACAUACAGUACUUAAGGAUACUGCUAGUCAUAAGUAAUAUUAUAUAGGAUACGAUACCAUAGCUGUUAUACUAUUGUUUCUCAUUCGUACUGGGAAGGCCAAAGGAAGGCCCCCAUGGCAAACUUCCUCUUUUGGUUGACAUCUCCAAUGACUGGCAGGCCAUACUGUUUCAGAAGGCAGUCCAGUUUCCACUCCGGCAUGGUCUCGUAGUCGCGCUUCUGGUACCUCGGGUAGUGCAGAGGCAUCUGGAACUGACAGGUGGUGUUGUUCUUACUGGUUUGAUCAUGUCCUCCGAGCCGGGGCAUAGCGAAGGCAUGGUUGCUAAGGCCAGUUCCAGUACUCAUCUUCUCACUGAUUUUAUUUUCUCAAAUCCACUUAGCAAAUAAAAAACUCAUGCAAAGUUGCUAGCUUGCUAUUUAGUGUUGCAAAGUUGGCCUUUUAUAGGCAUCCUAGAGAGCAAGAGAGAGAGAGAGAGAGCAAGAUUAUUCGAGUAUGUGCUUGAAGACAAGAAAGAGUGAGAGAACAUCUAAUGACUUGAAAGUGAAACAUUUUGUGGAUGGUGAUGGCUCUUUUACCAGGGCAAGCUUGAGGGUUUUGAGAGUCACGAUUCAAAUCCUCAAGUUACAUAGUUACAGCGAAACUUACCUAUCUCCAAAUAAAUGCACAAAGAUAGAAUGAUUAGGAUUCUAUAAUUGAGUUCCAACUGAAACAUCC
rnacentral:lncRNA from 1 species